UUAAUCCAUGUAUGGUAGUUACUGAACAAUCUGUAUGUGCAACAUUUCAUGAGACAUUAUUUUAUAUAUCUAGAAUAGUGUAACAGAAAAAGAUUUAAAAAAUACCGAAAACUAAAUCGUACCUAUUCCAUGUUUGAGGAGUCAUCUCAGCAGCUAAUAUCCCAGUUGGUCUGACAACAAAAUAGGUCAUGCGAUAUAACCCGAGUUCCUGUAUCUUAUUCCAAAAGAACUUAAUAGCAUACUUCCCGAUUGAGGCAUGUAUACAAUCGCCCUAGAAAAUCAUAUUAAUUGUUAGGAUGUAUUAGAUUGGUAUAAAUUGUUAGUGGUGGAAAUUAUAAAUAAUUGUCAAUAAACAUUGUAAAUUUUUUAGGCAGAAUGUGCAUAUUUUUAGAAUUUGCAGUAGUUAUAGAGAUUAAACAAUUGUCAACAAACAUUGUAGCUUCCUUUGGCAGAAUAUAUGCAUAUUGUACUAGUUUUUGAAGAAGUUUAAGGAGGAACAUCAUAUUUUAUUUCUCACGUAGAUUAUAUAAGCUGUAAUAUAUUGGUAAUAAUUUGUUUUUGCUGGAAAUUAGUAAAUUAUUAUCAAUUAGAUGUUCACAAACAGAAAUAGAAAUAAGACUACACCAAAUAAUCACUUCAAGUAGGUAGUUUUAUGUUUUUUAGGAUUGCUAGAAACUAAUAACAAAUGGAAAAAUAAUGUUUGAAACAAAAAGAGAAAUAAAGGUACUACGUAAAUAGUUUCACGUAGAAAUUUUCAUCUAUUUGAAAAUUUUGGAAAAUUUAUGAAUCGUAGCAGCAGAGAAGGAAAAAAAAAAGUGAAAGCAAUUAAAAAUAUUUUACCAUCUUGUAAUACCAACUCUAUUGAAUAAGGUAUUUGAGGCUUGUAGCGAUCCAGAAUUUCUCACAUUCGAACUACUCUAACUUUUAAAUUUCAUUUCAUGGAGUUGCUUGAAAUUUGUGUGAUGUCAUGAAGUUUUGUAGUCAUAUUUGCGGAGUUCUGUAUUCUGACCAAAGCAAAAAGAGAAUAGAAAAGGAAGUAAAAGGAGACGCAUAAAACUGCUGAUGUAGUUAUGGAGUUACGUUAGGAUACCCACGUUUGGGAAGAUGAUCAUGGUUUUUUUUUAAAAAAAUUAUUUCUUCCGAUUUAUUUGUGAAAUCUAUCUAUAUUGCAAAACGGCAAAUUCGAAAUGUGGGGGUCAACUCCAGACGUUGAUUAAAGUAAUUUUCUUUUUUUGAAUUUUCAGGUUUAACAAAUUAAAAAAAAAAAAAGAUACCAGCAAACGUGGGAGUCAAAGUAGAUGUAUACUAAAUUGGAAGUUUUAAAGCUUGUGAACUUCUAUAAACAAAUUAAAGAAAAAUUCGGACAACAAAGAUGUGGAAGUUUUAAGCUUGAAUUGGCGAAAUUGGAUUUUUAGCGAUUUCCGGUUGAUAGGUGAGAUUUGGAUAUAGGGGUCAUAAUGGAACUUUGAGAGUUGUGGUAGUUCUGUUAUGUCAUUUGGGAUGUGUGUGCAAAAUUUCAACUCAUCCGGACGUGGUUUGGUUGGGUUUUUAUCAAAAGCGUAAUUUAGAAGAUUUUGGAAUUCUUAGGCAUGAAUCCGAUGCGAAUUUGGUGUUUUGAUGUUGUUUUGCGGGUUCCGAAGGUUGGAACAAGUUUGAAUGAGGUUAUGGGAUAUGUUGGCAUGUUUGGUUGAGGUCCUGGGGGCCUCGGGUGAGUUUCGGGAGGUCAAUUGGACCAUUUCAUGAUGUUUGGAAUUGCAGAAAACUGUUGUGUGUUGCAGAGGAUUUAGACCUUCGCGUUCGCGAGUGAGUCCUCGCGUUUGCGAAGGGUCAGUUGGUGAAGGCUGGAAUUUAAGCCUUCGCGUUCACGAAGGGCUGAGUGUUUGGUCAUCGCAUUCGCGUGUGAGGGAGCGCGUUCGCGAAGAGUUGUCUGAGGAACCAUCGCGUUCGCGAUGGGCAGGUCGCGAUUGCGAAGAGGAAUUUUUGGUCAAAGUUAUUUUGUGCUUCACGAAUGCGAGGCGUUGACCGCGUUCGCGAAGAAGAAAUGAGGCCUGGCCAGAAUAUUUAAAUAUUCGUCUUGUCCGCGAUUUUGGGGUUUAUUUCCACUAUUAUUGAGCGUUUUUGGAGCUUUUUGAAGAGGAUUGAAGAAGGAUUCAAGGGGAAUCACUUGGAGGUAAGAUUCAAGGACUUAAAACUCGAUUCUAUGUGAAAUCUACCUAAUUAAUCAUGAAAAUUAAGCCUAAAAUUGAAGAACUAGGGCUUGAAAUUGGAGACAUAGAAUUUAGGAUUUGAGGGGUUAUUUUUUGUUAGAGUUUGAUGAUUUUGAUAUGAAUGAACUCGGGGAGUGAUAAGGAAUCCAUUGAUGUGCAUUUUACCGGAAUCUGAGACGUGGGCCCAGGGGUCGGGUUUUGGUAAUUUCGAGAUUUAUGUUGUAAAUUGAUUAUGUUCACUUGGGCUUCAUUCCCUUAGCAUAUUUUGACACUGUGAUUCUGAUUUUGGAUAGAUUCGGUGGGCGAGUGGAGGGCGAUUCGAUGGGCAAAGGCGUCGCGAGCUAGAGUUUGGACCGGAUUGAGGUGAGUAAUGAUUGUAAAUAAUGUCUUGAGGGUAUGAAAUCCCGGAUUGCAAUGAGGUGACGCACACUCUUGAUGACGAGCAUGGGGUCGUGCACUAUUGGGGACUGUGACUUAGUCCGUCCCGAAUGACUAUUUUACCGCGUAUUUGACUGAAAUCUAUUUGUGAACAUCAUGUUUUGGGUUGAAUGCCAUAUUUGGGCCUCGUGCCAACUAUUUGAACCUUUAGAGGAUUUUUAUUGAUAUUUCCUCACUGUUUUGACUUUAUACUUAAACUCAGUCAAGUUAUAUUCCACUGUUUUCAUAACUUAGCUAUGUUUACUCUGUUUUAACACUUAAAUGGUCUUUUAAAUGAUAUAUUGGGCUAAGAACCAUGUUUUACUACUGCCUGAGUGGCUUGUGAGGAUUUUGACUGAACAAGGCUGAGGGCCUAUGUUGUGAGGAAACACUGACUAUGAUUAUGAGGCCGAGGGCCUGAGAUAUGUAUGCCACAUGCUGGCUUGUUGACAUGAGGCCGAGAGCCUAGUGAUGAUGCCACGAGAUGGCUUGAUAUUGUGAUUGGGCCAUAAGGGGCCCCUCCAGGAGUUUGCACACCCCCAGUGAGCGCGGGUACCCAUUGUGAUGUGAGAUAUAGCCCGAGGGGUUGGUAUUGUUUUGAGAUAUUGCCCGAGGGGCGGAUUUGUUGACAUUGUACCCGAGGGGCGAACCUUUAUGUGUUUAUCUUUCUUAUUUGUCUGUCAUUUACCUAUUUAAUUGUUGAAAAGACAUUUCAUGAAGUUUAAACUGAACUGAAAUGAUUUUAUAUAUCUUUACUGAUUCACUGUUUUACUGGUUUUACUGCUUCAUUAUAGCCUGUAAUGUGCCUUGCGUGUUUUCAUAUCUCUUAGUCGUUUAUUUAUGAUUUUUACUCACUGAGUUGGAGUAUUCACUUUACUCCCUACACCCUGUGUGCAGAUUCAGGCGUUGUUGAUCCUUCUAGCGCAAGUUGAGAGCUCCCGGCAGACUUCGGAGUUCACGAGGUAGUUGCUUGGCAUCUGCAAUCCCGUGUUUCUCCCCUUUUAUCUCAUUUCUAUCUCUUUAUAAGUUAUUCUGUAAUGGUUUAGUCGGCAUUCCAGACUUGUAGCGUAUUGAUAGAUACUCAUGACUAAUGACACCCCGGUAUCGGGUUGUGUUGGGUUGUAUUCCGCAAAUUGUUUUGUAUUUGUAUUGUCACUGCUUACUUUUGGAUUUAUAUCAUGUUUAAGAGUAAAUGCUUAUUGUUUAAUUGCUUAAAACUGAAUUGAAAAUGUGUCGGCUAGCCUUGUAUUCACGAGAGGCACCAUCACGAUCGGGUCCGGGUUUAGGGUCGUGACAAGUUGGUAUCAGAGCCGAGGUUACACAGGUUUCAUGAGUCAUGAGCAGGUUUAGUUGAGUCUCGCGGAUCGGUAUGGAGAUGUUUGUAUUUAUCCUCGAGAUGUUGUAUAACCUUUAGGAAAAAUUCAUGUUCUUGAAAUUCUUGUCGUGCGAAUUUGUUGAUCCAGGCACUAAACUUCUGUUAUUCUAUUCUCUCACAGAUGGUGAGGACACGUGCUACCGGUUAGGAUGGACGACCACCAGUACCACCAGCUGUGGCCACCAGAGGCCGAGGACGUGGUCGUGGUCGUGGUAGGGACAGAGGUGUGGCCUACACAGCAACUAGGGCAGCACCUGCAAAUCCACCAGUCGCCCCAGUUCAGGAUUAGGUUCCAGUUAUGGAUGCUCGAGCAGCACCAGUUGUGCCCAUUGUGAUUCCGGGUAUUCAGGAGGCCUUGGCUCAGAUUCUAUCAGUUUGCACUGGCCUAGCUCAGGAGGUCUCAACUACUACAGCCGCAUCUACUUCUCAGGCCGGGGGAGGCAAUCAGACUCCCGCCACUCGCACACCUGAGCAGGUCGUGCAGGGACUUCAAACACCGGGGGCACAUCUAUCCUAGCUAGUUGCAGCUGCUCAGGACUAUGUAGUUCAUGCCAUGCCAAAGGACGAGCAGCAUAGGUUGGAGAGGUUUGGUAGACUUCAGCCUCCGACAUUCAGUGGUGCAGAGGGCAGGGAUGCCCAGGGUUUCUUGGAUAAGUGUUAGAGGAUGCUUCGUACAGCCGGUAUUCUGGAGACCAGUGGGGUCGCUUUCACUACUUAUCAGUUUCAGUGGCAGCAGUUCUCCAUUCUCUUUCUAGAGAAGUAUGUGCCGCAGUUUCGCAGAGAGGAGCUGCGCAGGCAGCUUGAGUGGUUGCGUCAGGGAGAGAUGACUAUAAUAUAGUAUGAGAUGUGGUUCUUCGAGUUAGCUCGUCAUGCUAUUUGGUUGGUUCCGACAGAUAGAGAUAGGAUUAGGAGGUUUAUUGAUUGCCUCACUUAUCAGCUUUGUAUUCUCAUGACUAGGGAGAGGGUGACUGGUGCUACCUUCGAGGAGGUUGUAGACAUUGCUCGUGAGAUUGAGUCUGUUCGUCGCCAGGAGCGAGAGGAGAGGGAGGACAAGAGGUCUCGAGGAUCUGGUAGUUAUAGUGGUGCUUCGUCGAGAGGCCAGUUUCAGCACGGCAGAGGCCGUCCCUUCAAGCAUGCUCAGCCAGCUCGCCCAGGUAUUCGUAGGGUGUUAUCGGGUUAUGUUUCUCACAGUUCUCAUCAGGGUCAGUCAUCACUUAGUGCCCUUCUAGCUCAGAGUUCGUCCUGUGCUCCAUCAGUUCAGGGCUCUUCUAUUCCCGGUGCAUCUGCUAGUCACUCCGAUGCAAGGGGUUCCCUUCAGUCCCCUUCUCCAGCACCUGGGAGUUGCUAUGAGUAUGGAGAGAUAGGUCAUAUGUGGAGGCAGUGCCCUCGUCGUCUUGCGAGGUCAUCUUAGCAGAGGAGUCAGCCAUCGUCUUUAGCGCCAGUUACUUCACCACUACCCGCCCAGCCAACUAAGGAUGGAGGUCAGUCAGCUAGGAGUCGCCCUAGAGAGGGAGGUCGAUCAGGUGGCGGUCAUGCCCGUUUCUAUGUACUUCCAGCUGGACCUGAUGCUAUUGCUUCUAAUGUUGUUAUUAGAGGUAUUGUUUCAGUCUGCCACAGAGAUGCUUCUGUAUUAUUUGAUCCUGGUUCCACUUUUUUUUAUGUGUCAUCAUACUUUGCAUGUUAUUUAGGUACGCCCUGUGAGUCUCUUGUUUCACAUGUUCAUGUAUCUAACCCGGUGAGCGAUAUUGUUAUUGUAGACCGUGUGUACCGGUCGUGUGUGGUGACUAUUGGGGUCUGGAGACCCUAGUGGAACUUUUAUUAUUGUGUAUGGUAGAUUCGAUGUCAUUUUGGGCACGGAUUGGCUAUCUCUGUGUCGUGCUAUUCUAGACUGUCAUGCUAAGACAGUCACAUUGGCUAUACCGGGUGUGCCACAGAUUGAGUGGCGAUGUGUGAUUGACUAUGUUCCCAGUAAAGUUAUCAAAUUCUUGAAGGCCCAGCAUAUGGUUGGGAAGGGUUGUCUUUCGUAUCUAGCCUUUGUGAGGGAUGUCGGUGCAGAGAUUCCCAGUAUUGAUUUUGUUCAAGUUGUAAGGGAAUUUCACGAUGUGUUUCCUGCAGACCUGUCGGGCAUGCCACCGGAUAGGGAUAUUGAUUUUGGUAUUGGCCUGGUGUCGGGCACUCAGCCCAUUUCUAUUUCGUCGUAUCGUAUGACACCAAUGGAGUUGAAAGAGUUAAAGGAGUAGCUUCAGGAACUCCAUGAUAAGGGGUUCAUUCGGCCUAGUGUGUUACCUUGGGGUGCGUCGGUUCUAUCUGUGAAGAAGAAGGAUGGCACUAUGAGGAUGUGCAUUGAUUAUAGGCAAUUGAACAAAGUAACAAUCAAGAACAAGUAUCAUUUGCCUCGCAUUGAUGAUUUAUUCGACCAGCUUCAAGGAGCGAGAGUGUUCUCCAAGACUGAUCUCCAUUCAGGUUAUUUCCAAUUGAAGAUCAGGAACUCGGAUAUUCUUAAGACGUCUUUCAGGACCAGAUAUGGUCAUUAUGAGUUCUUGGUGAUGUCUUUUGGGCUGACCAAUGCCCCAGCAUCGUGCAUACAUUUGAUGAAUAGCGUGUUCCGGCCUUAUAUCGACUCGUUUGUCAUAGUAUUCAUUGAUGAUAUUCUGGUGUAUUCGUGUAGUCAGGAGGAGAAUGCAGAGCAUUUGAGAGUUGUGUUGCAGAGAUUGAAGGAGGAUAAGCUUUAUGCAAAAUUCUCCAAGUGUGAGUUUUGGCUCAGAUCAGUACCUUUCUUGGGGCACGUGGUGUCCAGCGAGGGUAUUCAGGUUGAUCCAAAGAAAAUAGAGGCGGUUCAGAGUUGGCCCAGACCGUCCUCAGCCACAGAGAUUCGCAGCUUUCUUGGUCUGGCAGGCUAUUAUCGCCGGNNNNNNNNNNNNNNNNNNNNNNNNNNNNNNNNNNNNNNNNNNNNNNNNNNNNNNNNNNNNNNNNNNNNNNNNNNNNNNNNNNNNNNNNNNNNNNNNNNNNNNNNNNNNNNNNNNNNNNNNNNNNNNNNNNNNNNNNNNNNNNNNNNNNNNNNNNNNNNNNNNNNNNNNNNNNNNNNNNNNNNNNNNNNNNNNNNNNNNNNNNNNNNNNNNNNNNNNNNNNNNNNNNNNNNNNNNNNNNNNNNNNNNNNNNNNNNNNNNNNNNNNNNNNNNNNNNNNNNNNNNNNNNNNNNNNNNNNNNNNNNNNNNNNNNNNNNNNNNNNNNNNNNNNNNNNNNNNNNNNNNNNNNNNNNNNNNNNNNNNNNNNNNNNNNNNNNNNNNNNNNNNNNNNNNNNNNNNNNNNNNNNNNNNNNNNNNNNNNNNNNNNNNNNNNNNNNNNNNNNNNNNNNNNNNNNNNNNNNNNNNNNNNNNNNNNNNNNNNNNNNNNNNNNNNNNNNNNNNNNNNNNNNNNNNNNNNNNNNNNNNNNNNNNNNNNNNNNNNNNNNNNNNNNNNNNNNNNNNNNNNNNNNNNNNNNNNNNNNNNNNNNNNNNNNNNNNNNNNNNNNNNNNNNNNNNNNNNNNNNNNNNNNNNNNNNNNNNNNNNNNNNNNNNNNNNNNNNNNNNNNNNNNNNNNNNNNNNNNNNNNNNNNNNNNNNNNNNNNNNNNNNNNNNNNNNNNNNNNNNNNNNNNNNNNNNNNNNNNNNNNNNNNNNNNNNNNNNNNNNNNNNNNNNNNNNNNNNNNNNNNNNNNNNNNNNNNNNNNNNNNNNNNNNNNNNNNNNNNNNNNNNNNNNNNNNNNNNNNNNNNNNNNNNNNNNNNNNNNNNNNNNNNNNNNNNNNNNNNNNNNNNNNNNNNNNNNNNNNNNNNNNNNNNNNNNNNNNNNNNNNNNNNNNNNNNNNNNNNNNNNNNNNNNNNNNNNNNNNNNNNNNNNNNNNNNNNNNNNNNNNNNNNNNNNNNNNNNNNNNNNNNNNNNNNNNNNNNNNNNNNNNNNNNNNNNNNNNNNNNNNNNNNNNNNNNNNNNNNNNNNNNNNNNNNNNNNNNNNNNNNNNNNNNNNNNNNNNNNNNNNNNNNNNNNNNNNNNNNNNNNNNNNNNNNNNNNNNNNNNNNNNNNNNNNNNNNNNNNNNNNNNNNNNNNNNNNNNNNNNNNNNAGAAGCUCAAGACAACUUUGACCACAGCUGCAGUGUUAGUUUUGCCAUCAACUUCAGGUUCAUAUACCGUGUAUUGUGAUGCUUCGAGAGUUAGUAUUGGUUAUGUUCUGAUACAGGAGGGUAGAGUUAUUGCUUAUGCUUCUCGUUAGUUGAAGUCCCAUGAGAAGAACUACCACAUUCAUGAUUUGGAGUUGGCUGCCAUAGUUCAUGCAUUGAAAAUUUGGAGGCAUUACCUGUAUGGUGUGUCUUGUGAGGUGUUUACUGAUCAUCGUAGUCUCCAACACUUGUUCAAGCAGAAGGAUCUUAAUUUGAGGCAACGGAGAUGGUUAGAGUUGCUAAAGGAUUAUGAUAUCACUAUAUUGUACCAUCCGGGAAAGGGCAAUGUGGUGGCCGAUGCUUUGAGCCGAAAGGCGGUGAGUAUAGGGAGUUUGGAAUAUAUUCUAGUUGGGGAGAGACUCUUGCAGUUGAUGUUCAGGCCUUGGCCAAUCGGCUUGUGAGGUUGGAUAUUUCGAAGCCCGGUCGGAUAUUGGCUUGUGUAGUUUCUCGGUCUUCCUUAUAUGAUCACAUCAGAGAGUGUCAGUAUGAUGAUUCGCAUUUGCUUGUCCUUAAGGUCACAGUUCAGCAUGAUGAUGUUAGAGAUGUGACCAUUGGUGAUGAUGGGGUGUUGAGGAUGUAGGGCCGGAUUUGUGUGCCCAAUGUGGAUGGGCUUCGGGAGUUGAUUCUGGAGGAGGCCCAUAGCUCGCGUUAUUCUAUUGAUCCGGGUGUCGCGAAUAUGUAUCAGGAUUUUAGGAAGCAUUAUUGGUGGAGGAGAAUGAAGAAAGACAUUGUGGGGUUUGUAGCUCAGUGUCUCAAUUAUAAGCAGGUGAAAUAUGACCAUCAGAUACCUGGUGGCUUGCUUCAGCGGAUGGAUAUCCCAGAGUGAAAGUGGGAGCAGAUCAUUAUGGACUUUAUAGUUGGACUUCUACGGACUUUGAAGAAGUUCGAUCCUAUUUGGGUGGUUAUGGAUCGUCUGACCAAGUUCGUGCACUUCAUUCCUGUGUGUACUACCUACUCUACAGAGCGGUUGGCAGAGAUCUAUAUCCGGGAGAUUGUUCGAUUGCAUGGUGUCCCAGUUUUCAUCAUUUCAGAUAGGGGCACUCAGUUUACUUCGCAGUUUUGGAGGUCUAUAUAGCGAGAGUUGCGUACUCAGGUUGAGUUGAGCACAGCUUUUCACCCUCAGAUGGACGGGCAGUCCGAGCGCACUAUUCAGAUAUUGGAGGACAUGUUACGUGCUUGUGUCAUUCAUUUCGGAGGGUCAUGGGAUCGGUUUCUACUACUUGCAGAGUUUGCUUAUAACAACAACUACCAAUCGAGUAUUCAGAUGCCUUUAUAUGAGGCUUUGUAUGGGAGGCGGUGUAGAUCUCCAGUUGGUUGGUUUGAGCCGGGUGAGGCUAGGCUUUUGGGGACAGACUUGGUGCAUGAUGUUUUAGAAAAGGCGAAGGUGAUUCAGGAGAGGCUUCAUACANNNNNNNNNNNNNNNNNNNNNNNNNGCGCAGUCGAGGCAAAAGAGUUAUGCUGACAAGAAGGUUCGAGAUGUGUCCUACAUGGUUGGUGAGAAGGUUCUGUUGAAGGUUUCGCCCAAGAAGGGUAUUAUGAGAUUUGGGAAGAGAGGUAAAUUGACUCCUCGAUUCAUUGGGCCUUUUGAGGUGCUUCAGAGGAUUGGGGAGGUGGCUUAUGAGCUUGCUCUGUCACCCAGCUUGUCGAGUGUGCAUCUAGUAUUUCAUGUUUCUAUGCUCCGGAAGUAUAUUGGGGAUCCGUCUCAUGUUCUAGAUUUCAGCACAGUUCAGUUGGAUGAUGAUUUGACCUAUGAUGUGGAGCUAGUAGCUAUUUUGGGUCGUCAGGUUCGAAAGUUUAGGUCAAAGGAUAUAGCUUCAGUGAAAGUACAAUGGAGAGGUCGGCCCGUGGAGGAGGCUACCUGGGAGACCGAGCGGGAGAUGCGGAGCAGAUAUCCUCACAUGUUUGAGGCUUCAGGUAUGUUUCUUGACUCGUUCGAGAACGAACGUUUGUUUAAGUUGGGGAGGAUAUGAUGACCCGGCCAGUCGUCUCAUGAGUUACCGCUCCGUUCCUCCUAUUUUUGCCUUUUAUUGCUUUGUCCAUCGGUUCUAUAUGUGAUCAGGUUGGUUAGUUUGGGUUCGGAAAGGAUUUGGUAAGGUUUGAGAUACAUAGUCUCUUUUGAGGAAGCUUAAGUUGGAAAAGUCAACUAGAUUUUGACUUAUGUGUUAGAGGGCUCGGAUGUGAGUUUCGAUGGUUCGGUUAGCUUCGGGAGGUGAUUUUGGACUUAGGAGCGUGAUCAGAAUGAGUUUUGGAGGUCCGGAGUAGAUUUAGGCUAGAAUUGGCGAAAUUGGAUUUUUGGUGAUUUCCGGUUGAUAGGUGAGAUUUGGAUAUAGGGGUCGGAAUGGAACUCCGAGAGUUGCAGUAGUUUCGUUGUAUCAUUUGGGAGGUGUGUGCAAAAUUUCAGGUCAUUCGGACGUGGUUUAGUUGAGUCUUUUAUCAAAAGCAUAAUUUAUAAGAUUUUAGAAUUCUUAAGCUUGAAUCCGAUGCGAAUUUGGUGUUUUAAUGUUGUUUUGAGCGUUCUGAAGGUUGGAACAAGUUUGAAUGAGGUUAUGGGAUAUGUUUUCACAUUUGGUUGAGGUACGCGGGGCCUCGAGUGAGUUUCGGGUGGUCAAUCGAACCAUUUCAUGAUGUUUGGAANNNNNNNNNNNNNNNNNNNNNNNNNUUGCUGAAAAUUGUUGUGUGUUGCAGAGGAUUUGGACAUUCGCGUUCGCGAGUGGGUCCUCGCGUUCGCGAAGGGUCAGUUGGUGAAGGCUGGGAUUUAAGCCUUCGCGUUCGUAAGGAAAGCUCCGUGUUAGCAAAGGGCUGAGUGUUUGGUCAUCGCGUUCGCGUGAAGGGGACCGCGUUCGCGCAAAGGAAAUUGGUCAGUUGGGGUUUGAGGUGUUUUGUUCAUCGCAUUCGCGUGUGAUGGAGCGCGUUCGCGAAGAUUUUUUUGAGGAACCAUUGCAUUCGCGAUGGGCAGGUCGCGAUCGCGAAGAGGAAUUUUUGGUCAAAGUUAUUUUGUGCUUCGCGAACGCGAGGCGUUGACCGCGUUCGCGAAGAAGGAAAUGAGGCCUGGGCAGAAUGUUUAAAUAGUCGUCUUGUUCGCGAUUUUGGGGUUUAUUUCCACCAUUGUUAAACUUUUUUGGAGCUUUUUGAAGAGGAUUGAAGAGGGAUUCAAGAGGAAUCACUUGGAUCUAAGAUUCAUGGACUUAAAACUCGAUUCUAAUGUGAAAUUUACCUAAUUAAUCAUGCAAAUUAAGCCUAAAAUUGAAGAACUAGGGCUUGAAAUUGGAGACCUAGAAUUUGGGAUUUGUUGUUGGAUUUUGAUGAUUUUGGUAUGAAUGAACUCGGGGAGUGAUAAGGAAUCCAUUGAUGUGAAUUUUAUCGGAAUCCGAGACAUGGGCCCGGGAGUUCGAUUUUGGUAAUAUCGAGAUUUAUGUUGUAAAUUGAUUAUGUUCGCUUGGGCUUCGUUCCCUUAGCAUAUUUUGACGUCAUGAUUCUGAUUUUGGAUAGAUUUGACGCGAGUGGAGGUCGAUUCGAGAGGCAAAGGCGUCACGGGCUAGAGUUUGGACAGGAUUGAGGUGAGUAAUGAUUGUAAAUGAUGUCCUAAGGGUAUGAAACCCCGGAUUGCACAUCAUUGUGCUAUAUUGAGGUGACGCACAUGCUUGAUGACGAGCGUGGGGUCAUGCACUGUUGGGGACUGUGACUUAGUCCAUUCCGAAUGACUAUUUUACCGCGUAUUUGAUUGAAAUCUAUUUGUGAACAUCAUGUUUUGGGUUGAAUGCCAUAUUUGGGCCUUGUGCCAACUAUUUGAACCCUUAGGGGAUUUUUAUAAUAUUUCCUCACUGUUUUGACUUUAUACUUGAACUCAGUUAUGUUAUAUUCCACUGUUUUCAUAACUCGGCCAUGUUUACUCUGUUUUAAGACUUAAAUGAUAUUUAAAAUAAUUUUUUGGGUUGAGAACCAUGUUUUACUAUAGCCCGAGUGGCUUGUGAGGAUUUUGACUGAGUAAGGCCGAGGGCCUAUGCUGUGAGGAAACACUGACUAUGAUUAUGAGGCCGAGGGCCUGAGAUAUGUAUGCCAUGAGGUGGCUUGUUGAUAUGAGGCCGAGAUCCUAGUGAUGAUGCCACGAGAUGGCUUGAUAUUGCGCUUGGGCCAUAAGGGGCCCCUCCAGGAGUUUGCACACCCCCAGUGAGCGCGGGUACACAUUAUGAUGUAAGAUAUAGCCCGAAGGGCUGGUAUUGUCCUGAGAUAUUGCCGGAGGGGCAGAUUUGUUGACAUUGUGCCCAAGGGGAGUACCUUUAUGUGUUUAUCUUUCUUAUUUGUGUGUCAUUUACCUGUUUAAUAGUUGAAAAGACAUUUCAUGAAGUUUAAAUUGGACUUAAAUGAUUUUACAUAUCUUUACUAAUUCACUGUUUUACUAGUUUUAUUGCUUCAUUAUAGCCUGUAAUGUGGCUUACGUGUUUUUAUAUCUCUCAGUCAUUUAUUUUGAUUAUUACUCACUGAGUUAGAGUAUGCACUUUACUCCCUGCACCCCGUGUGCAGAUUCAGGCGUUGCUGAUCCUGCUAGCGCGAGUUGAGAGCUCCCGGCAGACUUUGGAGUUCACGAGGUAGCUGCUUGGCAUCCGCAGUCCCGUGUUUCUCCCCUUUUAUCUUAUUUAUAUCUCUUUAUCAAUUAUUCUGUAAUGGUUUAGUAGGCAUUCCAGACUUGUAGCGUAUUGAUAGAUGCUCAUGACUAGUGACACUCCGGUAUCGGGCUUUCAGUAAACUAUUGAAGCUAUCGAGAGAGUACCAAAUGGUGAUGGUGAUGAAGGUUAUCGAUUUUCGUUGUGCUUGUAUUAAGCGGGGUCAACAUAUUUUUUGUAGCAAUAGUUUUUAUAUGAAAGAUAAAAUUUAUUUUUCAAAGAAGCGGGGUCAUAUAAACCCUCUUGACCCCAUAUGGGACCAUCCUUGGAGCAAAGGCAUUAUUCUUUCUUUUGAUCCCUUAGUAUUAGAACUAGUUGGAGGUAGCCCGGGUUGUGCCCGGGCCCAAGAACCUUAUUAAUUUUUAUUUAACAUAAAAAAACAUUUGUUUACAAGUCAUGAAACAAAGCUGGAAGAAAUCUAUACAAUUUGAUUCAAAAUGUUUCAAAACGAAGAGUACAAAGUGCUACAAUUCUACCAGUUCCCUAAUUCUUGUGUUAUUAGGAAGUAGAAUAUUUUUGCCUUAUGGCCGAGACAACAAGCUAAUCUGAAAAAUAUACAAGCAAAAAAUAUCUUAGCACAUGUGUGUAAUACAAGUUAUCAGAAUGGAAAAAGUAGAACCAUCAGGCAACAUUCUGAUAUAUUUAUAUUAACUGUAUUUCAGAAAUUGAAAUAGAAUUACCUAUUUCAACUUCUAGGAACAACGGCUUCACUGUUAGUAGAUAAAAGUCAUAAAAGAGAGAAAUGCAUUGGAGCACAGGAAUGAGAAAACGGGAUAGUGAGCAAAUAUCAUUUACGAAAGAACUUUAGAUGAACUCUAGAGUUUCGGAACAUCUAUCAAACACUUGAAAUUCGAGAGUUUUCUACCUUGUACAUGAUAAGAACCUCUGUAAAGUUUUCGCAUCUCCUCUAUGAUUAUUUGAAGCAGUUGAUUCAAGAAGUUGCAUGAAGCAGUUUACAGCUGAAGUAUCAAUUUUCUGAGCAAUUAUGUUUGCUACUUUAUUUGUUGCAAUAGUAUAAUUGUAAGUCCAAAACUGGUUUGACCCUUGAUUAUGACAGAAAGCAACAAGCAUUAUACUGAUCCCAACAAUGGAUAGUGGUGGAAACACGAGCAGAGAAAAGGGAUUUCCAUUGACAAGCAUCUAAACUAAAAUUCGUAUAACAUGCUACAAAAUGGUGCACUUAUGCAGUUUAUCUUGUCCAAGCCUCCUAUAGUAGCCCAGUUAUCUGCAUUCCAUGUGCUAGAAAGUACUUACAUUGGCCUGUCAAUUGGAAAAGAAAUUGUUCGUCUGAUUCGCGUUCUUGUAUACCCUUAUUGGAACCUUAUUCAUAAAAAAUCUGCAUUCAAAAGAGUAUUGAUCGUCAUUAACUAUACCUUAAUCUCAAAUAUGUUGUGCUUAGGUAAAUUUGUUCAACAUGAAACUUUUUGUUGAAAUUAUAGUACACAAUGGAAGUCCAGAGUAGGGUCACACCAGAGAAAAUGCCCCAUCUUACAUUCAUCACUGCCAUUAUUGUACACAAUGGUCUGAAUAAGAUAAGGCUGUGUUGUUCUGUUUCCGAAGAGAUUUUGAGAAGUCUUGAAAUGAGUAAUAGGACACAUUUUACUGAAGUUGUUUAUCACCAAUGAGAGAGCACCAACAGGACAGUAGCCAAUUCCAUACAGAAACUUCAGUUGAAGAGCACGGUGUUUACACAGUUCCUACCAAUAUAUGAGCAAAAGCAAAAAAAAUACGCGACUUUUAGAAAGAAUGGAGAUAUUGACAGAGUUUAUUUAGAUUACAUUAUAACAAUCUUAUUUGCUAAUGUCAUCAAGCUGGUGUUGUGGGAUUUUUUAUCUGUAAGCAUAUAUAUUUCGAAUAAUUUAUAUAUUUUCAUCAUCACAUAAGUUGGAACAUCAGUUCAAAUGCACUGUAUCACCUAAUUAAAUGUUCCUAUAAAUUAUUUUACCAUUUCCCUUCUGCAAUUUUAAUCUUUCUUCAUAUUUUUUAUCUUUAUUUUUUCUCCUCCGAGAUUUUAAUAUAUAGUAGGUCAAUGUAAUUUCUUGCUAAUUUUUAGUUAAAAAAUUUAAGGAAUGUCUAAAUGCUUCGCCUCAAAUUUGAUCAUUGUACUUGUACCCCACUGCAGGAGAAAAGCUUAAUUCAUUGAAUAAUUUUGUCAGACACCUAAGGGUAGAGGCUAAAACAGAAACACAGAAGCUACACACACAGAAAGAGAAGAGCAUGGAGGCAUUGGAAAUAUUACAGUAUAAACUGAUCUCACCCCGAAGGUGAUCAAACGCAAAUUUAUAGCAGUAAGAAACUCGAAGAACAGAGUGAAACUAAAUAGAAAGAUAAAUAGAGUGUGACCUGAAUAAUCGUACAGGAAAGAAAAGUGAAAUCGGAUAUUGCCCACCAUUUACCCAAAAGCAAAAAUACCAGAUGGCCUUUAUAAGGAGUGUGAGUCAGCAAACUGAGUAGGAGCAAUUUGACAAACCUGAUCAACAAAGAUGCUGCAGAAAAAGUAUAUGAUUAUCUAGCUUAAUAAUAUUAUUGUUUCAACUAUUAAAAAUAUUAAUGUGACAAAGUUGAAUAAAGGACCAUAAUGUCUAUUUUUCUUUCUGUUUUUACGAUUAGAUCAUGUUUCACAACAGUUUUCAUGGCUUUAAACCUUAGGUUUUUUAAUCAGAAACUUUGAUGCAGUGUAUAAUCUCACAAGAUGAUCAGCAGACACAAACCUUAGGUGAACUUGUUUGCAUUCUUUUAUGCCUUUUUCUCAACCAAAGCUACCGUUGGAUUGAUCACUGCAGGUUACUUACUAGACACAGUCCAUUCUCUUUUGGGAACCACUCUCCACAGAGGACUCUUAUAUCUUUCACUUGAUUAUUUAAUUCAUAGAUACCCUCUUAGUAGAUCUAAAUUAUGGUGAAAAGAACAAAUACCUAGUCAAACACUCUAGUAUCUUGUGAGAAAUCAUGAGAAUAUACUCUUACAUGUGAACUAAGUAGCACUUGAUGUAGGCCUUGUGUUUGUCCUGUGUUAAAAAAAUUGAAAUUAAGGUAAGUAGCAUGUACCUACUUGUUCAGUUUAUGCGCAAUCAGAGAGUAAAUAUUCUGAGAUUUGAAGAAAUAUUUAUAGCCAAUUUGGUAUUGUUUCUGAAAAGGUUUGCAACCUUUUAGAACAGCCAUAGCUGUUGGAACAAGUUUGACACUAUUUCAGAACAGCCAUAGCUGUUGGAAAUAUUGCGGGAAAAUUAAAACGGAUUUAAAAUAAUCCGAAAAAGAAAACGGGUCGAACCCGACCGGGUCGCGGGUCAUGGGUUAUAUCGGAUUGAAUUUUUUUUAAUUAAUUAAUUAAAUAUUUGAAAAGAAUUUUGUCCAAAAAGAUUAAUCAAUCAAUCUUUGACCGAAGCUGAAGCCGAGUCAAGCGAUCGACGAUGACGACGAUGCGAGGCUUGCCUUCUUCUUAACUCUUUAAGAGCUAAAAGAUGAGCUUCUCUAUAUAUACACAAAGAUUUUCUUUGCUUCUACCAAUGAGGGACAACGUGCAUUAGAUAAAUGAACUCAUUCAAAAUUUUGCUUCACUUCAUUUCUUUUCCCACCAUUUUCCAUUCACACCUCUUUUGUUAUUAAUAAAUAAUAACAAAAUCCAACAAUUCUAUCCCGACAUCUAUGUGAAAGUCAAGAUAUUAUAUGUAUAUAUUGCUUAUCUUUCCCAUUCGAAUAACUUCACCUCAUCCCCAACUAACCAAUUCUGAAUGUAGUAUAAUUGUUUCCUCCAAAACUGUAAAUUUAAAAGCUAUACAUCACAAUAUAAGGUCAUGAGUCCUUAAGAACUCUUUCACAAUAAAUCCAGCAUAAUCCCAAAGUUGGAAUUACCAUUAUAUAAAAUACUAGAGAAAUCUCUAAUGACGACUUUGUGUGGAAAGAUAUGUAAACACAAAAGAUUCACAGGUCAAAAAGUAAUCUAUUGUUCUGAUCAUUUCAUUACUGCUUAUCUACAGUUUCAUCUUCUCUCUUGGAGUAGAAGGAGAUAACAAUAUGGCGGUAUCUUACUUACAAUUUAUCACUUUAAUAUUCUAUUUUCUUCUUUUUCAAGACUCCGAACAUUAUUUGCUAAACAGCUGAAUCGUAAAUUGCAAGUACAAUAGGUUUGAAAGUUCAAAUGAGACUAACUUGAUAGUUAAAUGUACAUUACGUGGGUUGAGUUGUAUCACAGUGUAAGCAUAAUUUUUUUAUUAGCAUCACGAAGGAAGAUCAGCACAGUUGCAGGCAGAUUUGUCACAUUGGGGAGACUUUACUAAUAGAACGCCUCUCGAAUGGCACCGAUCUUAUAUGCUCUCGUAAUAGUAUGAUGGAACAGAGGAAUAAUAGCACCUUCAAAUUUGGCGUAACGCCUGGUAUUGAUGGUUGUGGAAUUAAAGUCUUUCCAGAUAAUGCUUUCACUGCAAAAUAUAAUAAACGAGAAAUCAAAAGCUCCAAGAUUGUAUUGAGGAACACAAGACAUUCUUUGUGGUGGCCCGUAACAAACUUACCAGAUAUUGGUAAGUAUGAACAAGGAAAUUCCAGAAGCCAAAAGCAUAUCCUUCCUGAAGAAGUUCAUCUAAGCACAUAAGGAUGAUAGCAGCAAAGAAGAGUUGAAGGAUAACUAGGAUAGCAUUUCCAACACCCAAUUGGCUAACACUGCCAUAAAUCCCUGACAGAACAUAAGUAAGUGCCUCGCCAAUAACAAUCACGAUAUCCAACAACUUUUGAGCACCAUUACUGUGUAAGAUAAAUUUAUCGAGAGAGCACAUCAGAGAGUUUCAUUGAACAGAACAGCUAAUAGAAACAUUAUAAAACCAAGUUAGCUUAAUAGCAAGAACGAAAUUUUGUUAAAUAAAAUGAGUAAUAAGUACAAAAAAGACGCAUCCCUUUCUUUCGUGGUGGAGCGAGUGAAGUAGAUUUAGAUAGAAGCGUCAGAUGAAGACAAAAAGUCAGUAUAAGUUCAAGAGUGAGAACAUUCAAAGCAUGAAGUUUGUCUUGCAAAUCCAUAUAAAAGAACUCAUAUAGGCUUUGCAAACUGAUUUGAGCAUAAUAAACGUUAUAGAUCAUAUCAUCCUCAAAAAUCUAAGAGACAACUAACAAAAUGAACUGAUGCAAAAUACAUAUAGUUGUUAAAAGAGUAAACAAACAAAACAAAAGAAAUAAUAAUAUUCAAAACAUAUUAACUUACAGGAGUGGUCGGUCCUCGUGAAACACAUCGACUAAUAUUCAUAUGGUGAUAAUGUAGUAGUUAGAACAUCAUAUAAUUGUGAAGAUUUCAAAGAUGAUGUCAUAGUUAUUUACUAUAAACAGAGGAGACUGAGAUUCUUGCUAAUAUUGCUGUCAAAUUUGAGGUAUACAUAGUUAAUUGUAGCUAUUGACAAGAACAAAUUUAUCUGUAUAGUUCUUCAAAACUCUUGAACUCCAUCAAACAAAUUACUUGUUAUUGUGUUCAUUCUUUAAGCUCACCUGUAGGUUGCAGCUGCUACCAUUUUUUCGUGGUUGAUUUGUUUUGCACUACUCAUCAAACAAAUAUCCACUAAUAAGCUUUUUUAUUUAUCAAGAACAAUUUUAGAAAAGGCCAGAGAUCCAACAUAAUCUCAGUAGAUAACCAUAAUCUUGUAACAUAUAUCCGUCUAAAUUAAAAUAAUCUCAAUAGCAUUUAUGUGACGACCCGGCCAGUCGUCUCAUGAGUUACCACUCUGUUUCCCCAUUUAUGCUCCUUAUUGCUUUGUCUAUCGGUUUUAUAUGUGAUCGGGUUGGUUGGCUUGGGUUCGGAAAGGAUUUGGUAAGGUUUGAGACACUUAGUCUCUUUUGAGGAAGCUUAAGUUGUAAAAAUCAACUGGAUAUUGACUUAUGUGUUAGAGGGCUCGGAUGUGAGUUCUAAUGGUUCGGAUAGCUUCGGGAGGUAAUUUGGGACUUAGGAGCAUGAUCGAAAUGANNNNNNNNNNNNNNNNNNNNNNNUCGGUUGAUAGGUGAUAUUUAGAUAUAGGGGUCGGAACGAGGGUAUUCAGGUUGAUUCGAAGAAGAUAGAGUGGUUUAGAGUUGUCCCAGACCGUCAUCAGCCACAGAGAUUCAUAGUUUUCUUGGUUUGGCGGGUUAUUAUCGCCGGUUUGUUUAGGGAUUUUCAUCCAUCGCAUCGCCCUUGACCAAGUUUACUCAGAAGGGUGCUUCAUUUGUAUGGUCGUAUGAGUGUGAGGAGAGCUUUCAGAAGCUCAAGACAGCCUUGACCACAGCUCCAGUGUUAGUUUUGCCAUCAGCUUCAGGUUCAUAUACCGUGUAUUGUAAUGCUUCGAGAGUUGGUAUUGGUUGCGUUUUGAUGCAGGAGGGUAGAGUUAUUGCUUAUGCUUCUCGUUAGUUGAAGCCCCAUGAAAAGAACUACCCCGUUCAUGAUUUGGAGUUGGCUGCCAAGUUCACGCGUUGAAGAUUUUGAGGCAUUACUUGUAUGGUGUGUCUUGUGAGGUGUUUACUGAUCAUCGUAGUUUCCAGCACUUGUUCAAACAGAAUGAUCUCAAUUUGAGGUAGCGUAGGUGCUUGGAGUUGCUAAAGGAUUAUGAUAUCACUAUAGUGUACCAUCCGAGAAAGGCCAAUGUGGUGGCCGAUACUUUGAGCCGAAAGGCGGUGAGUAUGGGGAGUUUAGCAUAUAUUCCAGUUGGGGAGAGACCUUUUGCACUUGACGUUCAGGCCUUGGCCAAUCGGUUUGUGAGGUUGGAAAUUUCCAAGGCCAGUCGGGUAUUGGCUUGUGUGGUUUCUCGGUCUUCCUUAUAUGAUCGCAGCAGAGAGUGUCAGUAUGAUGAUCCGCAUUUGCUUGUCCUUAAGGACAGAGUUCAGCAUGAUGAUGCCAGAGAUGUGACCAUUGGUGAUGAUGGGGUGUUGAGGAUGCAGAGCCGGAUUUGUGUGCCUAAUGUAUAUGGGCUUCGGGAGUUGAUUCUGGAGGAGGCCCAUAGCUCGCGGUAUUCCAUUCAUCUGGGUGCUGCGAAGAUUUAUCAGGAUUUGAGGCAGCAUUAUUAGUGGAGGAGAAUAUAGAAAGAUAUUGUGGGAUUUAUAGCUCGGUGUCUCAAUUGUCAGCAGGUGAAAUAUAAGCAUUAGAGACCGGGUGGCUUGCUUCAGCAGAUGGAUAUUCCAAAGUGGAAAUGGGACCAGAUCACUAUAGACUUUGUAGUCGGACUUCCAUGGACUUUGAAGAAGUUCAAUGCUAUUUGGGUGAUUGUGGAUCGGCUAACCAAGUCUGCGCACUUCAUUCCUGUGUGUACUACUUAUUCUUUAGAGCAGUUGGUAGAGAUCUAUAUCCGGGAUAUUGUUCGUUUGCAUGGUGUCCCAGUUUCCAUCAACUCAGAUAGGGGCACUCAGUUCACUUCGCAGUUUUUGAGGUCUGUACAGCGAGAGUUUGGUACUCAAGUCGAGUUGAGCACAGAUUCUCACCCUUAGAAGGACGGGCAGUCCAAGCGCACUAUUCAGAUAUUGAAGGACAUGUUGCAUAAUUGUGUCAUUGAUUUCGGAGGGUCAUGGGAUCAGUUUCUACCACUUGCAGUGUUUGCUUAAACAACAGCUAUCGGUCGAGUAUUCAUAUGGCUCCAUAUGAGGCUUUGUAUGGGAGGCGGUGUAGAUCUCCAGUUGGUUGGUUUGAGCUAGGUGAGGCUAGGCUAUUGGGGACAGACUUGGUGCAGGAUGUUUUAGAAAAGGUGAAGGUGAUUCAGGAUAGGCUUCGUACAGCACAGUUGAGGCAAAAGAGUUAUGCUAACAAGAAGGUUCGGGAUGUGUCCUACAUGGUUGGUGAGAAGGUUCUGUUGAAGGUUUCGCCCAUGAAGGGUGUUAUGAGGUUUGAGAAUAAAGGUAAAUUGAGUCUUCGAUUCAUUGGACCUUUUGAGGUGCUUCGGAGGAUUGGGGAGGUGGCUUAUGAGCUUGCUUUGCCACCCAGCUUGUCGAGUGUACAUCUGGUAUAUCAUGUGUCCAUGCUUCGAAAGUAUAUUGGGGAUCCGUCUCAUGUUUUGGAUUUUAGCACUAUUCAGUUGGAUGAUGAUUUGACCUAUGAUGUGGAGCCAGUAGCUAUUUCGGGUCGUCAGGUUCGAAAGUUGAGGUCAAAAGAUAUAGCUUCAGUGAAAGUGCAGUGGAAAGGUCAGCCCGUGGAGGAGGCUAUCUGGGAAACCAAGCGAGAGAUGCGGAGCAGAUAUCCUUACCUGUUUGAGGCUUCAGGUAUGUUUCUUAACUCAUUCGAGGACGAACGUUUGUUUAAGUUGGGGAGUAUGUGACGACCCGGUCAGUCGUCUCAUGAGUUACCGCUCUAUUUCCCCCAUUUCUGCUCCUUAUUACUUUGUCUAUCGAUUCUAUAUGUGAUCGNNNNNNNNNNNNNNNNNNNNNNNNNAGUUCCAAUGGUUCAAAUAGCUUCGGGAGGUGAUUUGGGACUUAGGAGCGUGAUCAGAAUGAGUUUUGGAGGUCCGGAGUAGAUUUAGGCUUGAAUUGGCGAAAGUGAAUUUUUGACGUUUUCCGGUUGAUAGGUGAGAUUUUAAUAUAGGGUCUAGAAUGGAAUUCCGAGAGUUGUAGUAGUUCUGUUGUGUCACUUAGGAUGUGUGUGCAAAAUUUCAGGUCAUUCGGACGUGGUUUGGUUGGGUUUUUGAUCAAAGGCAUAAUUCGGAAGAAUUUGGAAAACUUAGGCUUGAAUCCGAUGUAUUUUGGUUGAUUCGAUGAUGUUUGAGGUGUUUUGAAGAUUGGCAUAAGUUUGAAUAAGGUUAUGGGAUAUGUUUGUACUUUUGGUUGAGGUCCCGGGGGCCUCGGGGUGACUUCGGAUGGUUGAUGGAGAAGUUUGGAAUUUUGGUAAGCUGCAGAUUUUCUACUUCUGGUAUUUCCGCACCUGCGGAUUGGGGACCGUAGGUGCGAUGCCGCAGAUGCAGACGAUUGGUCGCAGAAGCGGAAAAUGGCUGGAAAGGAAGAACCGCAGAAGCGGUUGUUGGAUCGCACCUGCGAAGGCGCAGGUGCGGAAUGUUCAUCGCAGAUGUGAAAAGUUGAGACUUAAGUGAGGACCGCAAAUGCGGUGGUCUUGACGCAGAAGCGGUACCGCAAAAAUAGGAAUUGGGCCGCAGAUGCGAAAUCCCUGGGCCAGAAAGUAUAAAUUGUUUCCUUCGCGAUUUUUGAGCCAUUCCACCAUUUCUACGUUGGCUUUGGAGCUUUUUAGAUGAUUUUGAAGAAGGAUUUCAAGGGAACUUUAUUGAGGUAACGAUUUUGGACCUAAAACUCGUUCCUAUUGUAAUAUUUCACGGAUUAGAGCUAUAAUUAAUGGAAUUAAGGGUUAAAAUUGGGGAAACUAGGGCUUGGUAUUGGAGACCCAGACUUGAGGAUUUGAGGGACCAUUUGUGGUCAGAUUUUGGUACUUUUGAUAUGUAUGAACUCGUGGUGGGAUGAGGAAUCUAUUGAUGUGAAUUUUAUCGAAUCCCGAGACGUGGGCCCGGGGGUCGAAUUUUAGUAAUUCGGGACUUAGGUUGUAAAAUGAUUAUUUUCGCUUGGGCUUCAUUCCCUUAGCAUAUUUUGACGUCAUGAUUCUAAUUUUGGAUAGAUUCAACGCGAGUGAAGACCGAUUCGAGGGGCAAAGGCCUCGCGGGCUAGAGUUUGGACCGGAUUGAGGUGACUAAUGAUUGUAAAUGAUUUUCUGAGGGUAUGAAAUCCCGGAUUGCACAUCGUUGUGCUAUAUUGAGGUGACGCACACGUUAGAUGACGAGCAUGGGGUCGUGCACUAUUGGGGAUUGUGACUUAGUCCGUCCCGAAUGACUGUUUUACCGCGUAUUUGACUGAAAACUAUUUGUUAUCAUCAUGUUUUGGGCUGAACACCAUAUUUGGGUUUCGUGCCAAUUAUUUGAACCCUUAGGGGAUUUUUAUUGAUAUUUCCUCACUGUUUUGACUUUAUACUUGAACUCAAUCAUGUUAUAUUCUAUUGUUUUUCAUAACUCAGCCAUGUUUACACUACUUUAACACUUAAAUGAUAUUUUGGGUUGAGCACUAUGUUUUACUAUUGCCCAAGCGGCUGUGAGAUUCUGACUGAGUAAGGCCGAGGGCCUAUGUUGUGAGGAAACAUUGAUGUUGAUAUGAGGCCGAGGGCCUAGUGAUGAUGCCACGAGAUGGCUUGAUAUUGCGCUUGGGCCGUAAGGAGCCCCUCCAGGAGUCUGCACACCCCCAGUGAGCGCGGAUACCCAUUGUGAUGUGAGAUGUAGCCCGAAGGGCUGGUAUUGAUCUGAGAUAUUGCCCGAGGGGCGGAAUUGUUGACAUUGUACCCGAAGGGCGAACCUUUAUGUGUUUAUCUUUCUUAUUUUUUCGUCAUUUACCUGUUUAAUUGUUGAAAAGGCAUUCCAUGAAUUAUAAACUGAACUUAAAUGAUUUUAUAUUUCUUGACUGAUUCACUAUUUUUACUGGUUUUACUGCUUCAUUAUAGUAUGUAAUGUGCCUUACGUGUUUUCAUAUCUCUCAAUCAUUUAUUUAUGUUUAUUACUCACUGAGUUAGAGUACUCACUUUACUCCCUGCACCCCGUGUGCAGAUUCAGGCGUUGUUGAUCCUGCUAGUGCGAGUUGAGAGCUCCUGGCAGACUUCGGAGUCCACGAGGUAGUUGUUUGGCAUCCGCAAUCCCGUGUUUCUACCCCUUUAUCUUAUUUAUAUCUCUUUAUCAGUUAUUCUGUAAUAGCUUAUAUAUUUUUCAGACUUGUGUUGGAAUUGAUAGAUGCUCAUGACUAAUGAUACCCCGGUAUCGGGCUGUGUUGGGUUGUAUUCCGCAAAUUGCUUUGUAUUGUCACCGUUACUUUUGAAUUUAUAUCAUGUUUAAGACUAAAUGCUUAUUGUUUAAUUGCUUAAAACUGAAUUGAAAAUUUGUCGGUUGGCCUUGUCUUCACGAGAGGCGCCAUCACGACCGGGUCCGGGUUUGGGGUCGCGACAAGAUAGCGAUCAACAAUAAUGAGAGACAAUUCAUCGUAUAGCACAUCACCAAAUAAAAGACUGGUAAAACACAAAUUUAUCUAUAAAUUAGAGAUUCAAAGCAUACAUCAUAGCAUGAACCAAGCUGUUAUAAUUUCUUUGUUUUCCUUUUAUACUUUUUUCAAAUAUAUUAUCUGAUGAUGCUUAUAUGGUCUAAAGCAAGACCUUGUUAUUAAAAUCAUUUGUCCAAGGGAAUAACAGAGAAACAUUCCUCGUGUAGGCAACUAAUGAAGAAAUUAUAUCAAAAGCUACAAAGCAUGAGUAUAUAAUUCAACUUCUAACAGGGAAAUUCACCUUCAUGUUUGUCUUGCUGAACUGAUGGAUAUCUUGACUCCAAAUGAUGAAGCAUUACAAAAUUGAAUAGGUCAGGAUGGCAUUGCUAAGUACUGAAAGGAGGGUAAAACAUAGAAAAAAUGAACAGUGGUGCGGAUGGCACUGGAGCAAUACAUCAUAAGAAACAUAAAUAAGAAAAUUCGGCUACAAGUAAUAAGAGUAGUAAAGCAGAUAAUAGCAGGGCAAUGCUAAAUGGUAACUCUAGACAUUAGAGAAAACAUUAUUCAUUUUUUUUUAUAAACUUUCUUAUUUCACCAAAAUCAAGUUAAAAACCUAUAUUCUUUACUGACAAAGAAUCAAACCUUUAAUUUCUUUUAAAAGAACCAAGUAGUUCUCUACAGAGAAUAUAAAUGAAAUAGCCAAAAUUAUUACUCUUUCAACUGUUGCCCCUUAGAAUUAUUAAUUGAGUAUUUUUGCUACAAAUAUCACAUGUUUUCCAUCAAAUAAUACACCUAAACCGUCAACAGUAACAAUUAUUAAAAUAGAAAGUGCCAAAUAGGUAUAAAUGACUUUAGAAUUUAACAGAGUUGUAUAGAGUGAACAUCACAAUUAUUUUUGCGGCAUGUGAAGCAUAAAAAUUAUUACCUGGCAUUAGUUAAUUGAAUGCUUUUUGAAUAACUUCAUCAUAAACUAUGUUAUACGUUGAGUGAUUAUCCUCAAUGUCUGAUGUCAGCGGUCAAAUUAAUAAUUUCACACCUUCUGAACUUUUAGCUCUUGAUAAAGCAACAUAAAGUUGACCAUGGGAAAAAUUGGUUCACGUAAAUAAAUUUCAACAAAAUCCAAAGUUUGACCUUGAACUUUAUUUAUAGUCAUAGCAAAGCAUAAGAGUACUGGAAAUUGUAUUCUUUUAAAAGCAAUUGGAAUUUUUUCAUCUUGUGAUGCUUAAGUGGUAUUCUUAGAAUAAAAACAUGUCUAUUUUGAAAAUCACCGUUAGCAAUUUUGGCACUUAUAACAUGUGUGUUUAAAACUACAACAUGUUAACUGUGUGUCGUUACAUAAACCUUCACAAGGACUUAAAUUUCGUAGUAACAUUAUUGGACAAUUUUCUUUUAAAGUUAAUCUGUAAAGAGGCAAACCAGCAGGAUUUAAAGUAUGAAAAUAAUCUUCGAAUUGACCUUGGUCAUUCGGUUCAACAGUUUCAUCAAUUGCAACAUAUGUUCUAGCAUCUUUUGGGAAUCUAGAUAUGAGCAUGUCAUUUAUUUCAUGAACAAAAUUAUUUUUUGUUGUCAAGAUCACACGAGAAGCUAUGGAGGAAGAAUCAUCAAAUAAGGAAUCUUUAUUGGGAUAUGUUACCUCAAAUAACUCAUUCAAGGAUUCUUCUUCAGUUGUAAAAGGAAUGAUCAACAUUUCCAAUUCUCAUCAAGUAUUCACAAAAGCUAGGACCUGUUCUUGCACGCAUAUUCUCUGACAGCUGUAGUUUUUCUAGUUGAUUCCAAAUUUCAGAGUAUAGUAAACUUUCAGAAAUGAAGUCUUCUUUUUUUCAUUUCGAACAACUGAAAGAGUUUGUCUAAAAUCACCUCCAAAAACAACUACUUUUCCACCAAAGAGCAUCUUAGUAUCCAUUAGAUCCUUCAAAAGUAAAUCAAAAGCUUCAAUCGUUUUCCCUUUAGCCAUUAAUGCCUCAUCCCAUACAAUUAAUUUUAUGUCUCUAAUUAAACAUACAAGUGAACUUUGGUUACUGAUAUUGCAACCAAUAUUUUCAUCAAUAUCAAUAGGGAUCUUAAAACGUGAAUGAGUUGUUCGCCCUCCAGGAAGAAUAGAAGCUGCAACACCAGAAGUUGAAGUUGCUAGUGCUACAAAUCCCUUAGAUCUUAUCGUAACCAACAAACUUCGAUAUAAGAAAGUUUUACCAGUUCCUCCUGGCCCGUCAAUAAAAAAAGCUCCCGAUUUGUUGGAAAAUAUUCUAUCAACAAUCAUAUUGUAUGCUCUUCGUUGAUCUGUAUUUAGUUUUUUUUUUCUAAUAACAAAUCUUCUUCGAAAACUCUUAGGUUUCUCUCAAAAUGAACUUCUUUUGCCUCUUUUGCAACUGCAGAAGCUCUAAUGUUUUCUGCAACAUGCUUGUACUCGUUAAUGUCGUGUCCUAUCGAGUGUAAUUUGUCAUUGAUCUGGUUCAGGACUCUAUGAUGAAUAUCUUUAAAUUUAUUAUUUGGCAAGCGUUUGAAGUUUUCGGACAUUGAGUCUUCAAAUUGUUCCCACAACUCUUUUGGAUUAGUAGGAGUACAAUAUACCAAUAGCGUAGCAAAUAAUCGUCUUAAACUAUAUGGCAAUUGAUAGCUUGCAGCUUCAAUCAUACAGUCAAGCAAACUAUUGUCAGAAUGUAAUAAUCCUCUUUUUUCAGCAGUCUCUCUAAAUAUAAUAUAACUUCUUCCAUUUACAGUACGAAGAUCUUCAUAUGAUGUUGGUCCUCUUACAUUCAUUAAUAAUCGCCUGAGAUAAUAUCUCUCACCUUCUGUUGGAUGACAUGUCACAACGCGUCCAAUAAUAGUACGUUGUUUUCGACGUGUCCACGUCUUGUCUGUAACUGACCAGACAAAGUAUUCUGGAAACUCUUUAUAUAGUAGCUUAAGUUCUAUAGCAUAAUCAUCUGUUUGGUUCAUGACAAAAAAUUCUGUCAACAUUGUUUUUCUAAUCAUAGGAUUUUUUUUUUUAAAUUGCAUUUAUACUCUCGGUGCUUUUAAAAGAAACAUAUUGUUGUCCUUCAAGGUGUAAUUGAAGAUGAUAAACACUUGGUGUCAUCUCACUAAUAGAAAAACCAAAUAAACGCCAUGUAGCUUCGGGUGGAGAUACCCAUCUAGCAGACUGAUAUUCUUUUAUUUUAUCAAUCUCUUUGUCUUUAUCAUUGUCAUAUACAGAAAAAGAAAUUUUAUCGUGCCCUUUACAUAUGUACUUGUAAAGAUACUUGACAACUUAAAUAUUUGAGCAUAUCUCGAUAUUCAUAUGACAUUUAAACUUUUCAAGUAAAAAAGGAUUAUAUGGUACCACCCAUGGAUUAUCGAGAAAUUGUUCUCUAAUUUUUAUUACUUCACUUGUAUGUCGUCUUUUAUAAAUUGGAUAAGAGUUUUUUCCUUUUGAUGUUCGAUCAGCAAAAUCUUUAGGGUAGUUAAAUUUACAAUAUCCAUUUUUCAUGCAUGAAUUUGCAGGAUUCAAAUGACCACAAUGAUCGUGCAUUAUAUGAUGUACAACAAGUGAGUAUAAGUAAGGCUAUUUAUCAGGAUCAGGUAAUUCAGCACAAACAACUCUGUCGUAAGACUCAAGUGUCAACAAUUUGUAUUCAUUAGCAAGAAUAAUAAUCAAAUGUUCAUGUGAAAGACCACAUUUCUGGAAUUCUACAGUGUACAUAAAAGCAGCAACCUUUUCAAAUAUAUUUCUUUUUAAUAUAUCAUUUUUUAGCUCUUCCAGUUUUGUUCUAAAUACUCGACUAACUAAGUCAGGUCUAUUUUAUGCCUCAUCAGUAGAUAACAAAUGUUCUUUUAUUUCUGGCCAUAAUGGGUUGUAUUUCAUCAUUAGAAAAAAGUCAGGUGUUCCAAAACGUUGUACCAAAGCAAUAGCAUCUAUAUAUCGUCGGCGCAUAUCUCUUGGUCUCCCUGUAAAUGUAACAGGAAGGAAAGUUUGUUUUCUGAUUCUAGAAGCAUCUCUUUCACCAUGUCUUAAGACAUCAAGAAUACCUUGCAAAACUUCAAUUCUAAACAAGUCUGGAUUGAAAGAGAAGAAGUCUAGUCGUUGUGUUUCAAGUUUUAUGAAUACAUCUACGACAUAUUUUUAGAAUAUCCUUCCAAUAUGUAAGAUUUCAUCAGUCUCAUCAUCUCUUAUUUGAAUUUUAUAACAAUAAUAUUCACGACAAAAGACAGUAUUUCUUUUUUUCCUUUGUUGUUCUAGUACCUGAGCUUCCAUAUCAAGAAAAUGUUUAAUUGAACACAUGUUUGCAACACUUGGUAAAUUUCCUGUUCACAGUAGACACGACAUCUAGUAGUAUUCUUUAGUUGUACUAUUUUCUUUAUACCACAGUGCCACCCAUCUUGAAUAUAUGAAAAUAAUAGUGGGUAUUGCAAGGGAUCAUAACAUCCAUAGUAACAGUUCACUAAUUGGCUUUUAUUGCUGUGAGUAUAAAUUCGAAUGUGAGGUGUGGAAAUAUGAACGCCUUCUUCCACCAUUAUUACUGCAACUUCAGAUGUAGUAGGUAAGUUAUAUACUCGUUGAUCUAAACCUGAGUCACAUUUGAGCGCAAUAUAAAAGUUCGAUAAUUCCGGAACAUCUGCCAAAGAUUUCAAGAAAACACUAUACAGAUUAUUUUGUAGUAUAUUCAUCAAUUUUCCGAUCAUUGACUCAUGUACUCUAGUUGAACAAGCAAUUUUGUUUGCUACCUCAUUUUCAUUGUCGUAGAAGUAUAACUGUCAAUUUCUUCCUUUCUCGUUCGCAGGAUAUAAAUCAUCUAUACAGUGAUACAUUUUUCCUUGAACUCUAUGUAUAGAUACCAUGAUUUCUCUUAGCUAAGUCUUUGUCAUAUUUUACCCCGAGCGAAGUAAAUGCAAACAUGUUAUUAUAUGUCUUAACAUAUGUUCGUAAAUGGUCAGACUCUUCAGUAGUACCCAAAAAUAAUUCUCGUAGCUCUAUAGGCAUUUCAUGUGAAGUAAGCUUGAUUGAACCUUUAUUGCAAUAGAAUCCAGGGGGUUCAUAUUGAAAUCUUUUUGCAGCACAAAAUUUACAGUUUGGGACAACUUUGAAAGCAACAUAUUCGGUUUGUGAACCAAUAACGUGCAGAGGGGCUCUUCUAUGUAGUCUAACUCCUGAAUAUUAUGGAAAUAAUUAGGAGUCAAUUUUAACUCCAAAGGAAGAUAAUGAAUACUAUUCUAACUUGAGAGUGAUACAAACCUCUAUUUGCUACAUUCUCUGAACCAACACCACAUCGGUCAUUAGAUGUACCUGAUGUGGAUCCUAAUAUAGACGCAAUUAUGAAUUACAUAAGUAAAUGGUUUACGACAAUAGAAAUUUUAUUAAAAUAAUAUGCUUCAUAUACUCGCCUGUUUCGAAGAAGGAAAAACGACCAACUAAACUUUUUCCUUUCACAGAAGCAGCAGGUAAAGUACUAACUUCACAUUUAGCAGCUAAUAAAGACGCGUGAAACAUAUUUAGUUUAAACUGACUGCAUUUAAACAGAAAGAGCGAAAGUUUAAUUUGCUAACUUUGAUUUGAAGUAAGAGAAAAAUCUCUUAUUAUGAGAGCACUCUCCCUUUGAAGCGUUGAAUUACUUAGAGAUGUUGAUUUGACUGAGUUAUACAGAGUACGACUUUCUGGAAGACGUUUUCUUGAAUCGAGUUCUUUCGUACGGCGGUUUAACAAUAAUGCUUUCUUUCUAUCCGCUGAUAUUUUCUUAUAUUUUUUAUGGCGAUUGAAUUUCAUUUUAGCACUUCUAUCUGCCAAGCAUGGACUUUUGUUCUUUUGUCCUGAACGUGAUAUAGGCACAUCUUUUUUAUCCCCCGACAUCUAUACUCAUCCAAUGUAAGCAGUAUUAAAAAAUAAACUACACCCUUUCUCCAAAAAGAUAUCAAGUGAAAGGCAAAAUUGAAUAAUUUGGUGGGGAACUGAUGCUUUCUAUUAGCUUACCUCGUAAAGCCGGAGUAGUUAGACAGAGUAAUCAGACGUUAAUUCCAGAAACCUGCAAACAGUGUGCAUCAGUCAUUAAAGCAAAAUAGGCAAACCACAUUUUUCGCUAAAAAUUCAUUGUCCGAAUAUUCAUAAAAGCCAUCAAGUUAAUGUCACUCCGCUCAGAGCUAAAAGUCAAUGAUCAUCUGAACUAUAAAAAUUACUCGUUUCAAUAACUUAAGAUGAGUUUGGUGGAAAUCACCAUGUAAAAGAAUUUCUCCAAUAUAAAGUAGUUAAAAAGGUUCAACAGGUAUUUAGUGCUAAACUUUUGCUCUGCUUUCCUUUAUUAUAUACUUAUUAAUUAUCACCGACUAUAAUAUUUUUCUUUAAAUUUCUUUCAGGAACAACUUAAAGAAAAAGUAAGAAGACUCAAGAGAAGACAAAACUUUGGAUGAUUUAAGGUGAGUGAGACUUGUCAAGGAUUUGUACCAACUAAACUUGUGGACAAACUUGAAGAAGCAAAACAAAUUACAGAGAGUUGGAAAUAGACCAAUAUAAAGUAGUAAAAUUAAAUAAUUAUGAAAAUUUGAAAAGCAAACUCAUUUGCUCUACAGGUAAGAUGGAACAUCAGUCCAAAUGCAUUGUAUCACUUAAUCAAAGGCUCCUACAAAUUAUUUUAUCAUUUUCCUUCUGCAAUUUUAGUCUUUCUUCAUAUUUUUAAUCUUCAUUUUUUUCUCCUCCAAGAUUUUAAUUUUUAGUAUUUCAACGUAAUUUCUUGCUAAUUUUUAGUUCAAAAUUUUAAGAAAUGUCUAAAUGCUUCACCUCAAAUUUGAUCAGUACACCUCGCUACAAAAGAAAAGCCUAAUUCGUUGAGUAAUUUUCUCAAACACCUACAGGCAGAGGCUAAAACAGAAACACAGAAGCUACCACAUAGAAAGAGAAGAGCAGGGAGAUAAUGGAAAUAGUAAAUUAGGGUAAAUUGAUCUCACCUGGAAGUGAUCAAAAGAGUAGCAGCAACAAAGCCGAAGAACAUAGCGAAACUAAACAACAAACAGAGUGUAAACUGAUUGAAAAUUGUAGGGGAAGAAAAGUAAUAUCUGAUAUUGCCCACCGUUUACCCAAAAGCAAAAACAGCAGACGACGUUCUCUCAGGAGUGUGAGUCAGCAGACCGAGUAAAAGCAAUUUGGGAAACCUGAUCAUUAGGAAUGAAACGGAAUUCCAAAAAGUUGCGUACUUGGGAGCUGAAUAUUUCUGAUUUUUUUCAUCAUUUGAAAUCCACAAGGAAGGCUAGAGAUAACUCUCCGUUAUAGAUUAAGAGAAUGUAAUGUAAAAUGACCAAGAUACCCACAUAGCACAAGCAAGCAUGUUGACGGAGACCAGCUUAACUCUCUCUUAUAGAAUAAGAGAAUAUAUUGAGAACCAUUUACAUUUGGUUUCCCUGAUGUGAGCUUGCCAACUUUGAAUAUAUCUAACUACUUGGACUUGUUAGAAUUCGUUUAAAGGGCUCAACAACUUGUGCAUGUUAGUUACACUGGUAGACUUAUGACAAAAAGUUCAAGUAUGUGCGAAAUUCCAAACUUAUCUUGAUAUUUACGAGGUUGGAAAAGAGAAUUUUAUGGCUCAUAUGUUGGCAGUUAUUGCUUGAUUUCCUUUCUGUGAACACUUUUAUUCUCCUUGAUGGGAAUCAUAAUAUGGAACAAGUAGAAACGAUAUUUUUUAACUAUUUCAAGGUAAUAAGUUGUUUCAUUAGCUCACGUCAUGACUUAUGUCUUUAGUCUAUGUUUUAGAUGGUUAUCUUGCAUUUUAACUAUAAUAGCCAGCUGAAAAUAAAGUUAUGCAUCUUUUUAAAAGUGUUAAUUAAGGUACUAAGUUGAAGUUAGCAAGCUAAUUGAUUUCACCCUUUAAGGUUUAAGCAUAGGUCGUUUUUCUGUUGGCACAGUAUUGGUUUUACAAAAUUGGAGAUUCUUUCUUUGCAGUUUUGUUAGUGUUCUCAGAAUUUAAGCAACAUGUAACUUAUUCCACCUGAUAGUCUCUUCAUUCGUUCAGAUGAUUGAGUUGGGCUUCAGUUGCUUUGUAGGCUAUGCUUUGGUACAUUGUACUGUGAUGAGGUUUCCAGACCUUACGGUGUGGGAUAAUACUGGGUAUAUAUGUUAUUAUUGUUGUUACUCUGAUGAGAUUCAAGAUCUUUUUGUAUUAAGUGGCUCAACUUCAAUAUACAUGUAGAGGUGGAUUUUUUAUUGAACGUGACGGGUUCAGCCUUUAAGAUUUCACCAUUUCAAGAGGUAGAUUCUACAUUUUAAUUUUGUGCUCCACAUAUUUUAAAAUUUCGCCAUUAGAACUCAAGAUAGUUCAUGCUCUACAAAUUAUAAUUCAUGCUUCUAAAAAUCACGAUUCUCUAUCUCGUUUGAGUUUUGCAAUUAUGAUUCAUCCCCACAAAUUUGUGUUUUUACAAAAAAAAUUAUUACUUGACACUUGCCUGCGAUUCAAUUAUCCUUGGAGCAACCACAUAAACCAUUGCUUAUGUUGACUCUGCACGAAGCUUAAGUGCACCAGUGCUUCAGAUAGCUUAGCAUUCCACUGUCUUGGUGCAUGUUUGAGACCAUACAAGGAUUUCAAGAGUCUGCAUAUUGGUCUACUCUCCCCCUGACUCUGAAAGCCUUGUGGCGGAGUCAUAUAUAUCUCAUCAUGCAAGUCACCCUAGAGGAAAGCAUUGUACACAUCCAUCUGAUGAAUGUACCAAUGCUCAGAUGCAGCAAAAUCAUGAACUGUUCUCACUGUAACCAUUUUAACCACUGGACUAAAUAUUUCCUGAUAAUCAACACCCUCUUGUUGACUAUACCCCUUGGCCACAAGCCUGGCCUUGAACUUCUCUACCUCUCCUGAGGCCUUGUACUUUACUUUGUAUAUCCACUUGCACCCAAGAGUAACNNNNNNNNNNNNNNNNNNNNNNNNNNNNNNNNNNNNNNNNNNNNNNNNNNNNNNNNNNNNNNNNNNNNNNNNNNNNNNNNNNNNNNNNNNNNNNNNNNNNNNNNNNNNNNNNNNNNNNNNNNNNNNNNNNNNNNNNNNNNNNNNNNNNNNNNNNNNNNNNNNNNNNNNNNNNNNNNNNNNNNNNNNNNNNNNNNNNNNNNNNNNNNNNNNNNNNNNNNNNNNNNNNNNNNNNNNNNNNNNNNNNNNNNNNNNNNNNNNNNNNNNNNNNNNNNNNNNNNNNNNNNNNNNNNNNNNNNNNNNNNNNNNNNNNNNNNNNNNNNNNNNNNNNNNNNNNNNNNNNNNNNNNNNNNNNNNNNNNNNNNNNNNNNNNNNNNNNNNNNNNNNNNNNNNNNNNNNNNNNNNNNNNNNNNNNNNNNNNNNNNNNNNNNNNNNNNNNNNNNNNNNNNNNNNNNNNNNNNNNNNNNNNNNNNNNNNNNNNNNNNNNNNNNNNNNNNNNNNNNNNNNNNNNNNNNNNNNNNNNNNNNNNNNNNNNNNNNNNNNNNNNNNNNNNNNNNNNNNNNNNNNNNNNNNNNNNNNNNNNNNNNNNNNNNNNNNNNNNNNNNNNNNNNNNNNNNNNNNNNNNNNNNNNNNNNNNNNNNNNNNNNNNNNNNNNNNNNNNNNNNNNNNNNNNNNNNNNNNNNNNNNNNNNNNNNNNNNNNNNNNNNNNNNNNNNNNNNNNNNNNNNNNNNNNNNNNNNNNNNNNNNNNNNNNNNNNNNNNNNNNNNNNNNNNNNNNNNNNNNNNNNNNNNNNNNNNNNNNNNNNNNNNNNNNNNNNNNNNNNNNNNNNNNNNNNNNNNNNNNNNNNNNNNNNNNNNNNNNNNNNNNNNNNNNNNNNNUUUGCCAUCAGGCAAGGAGACCACAUCCCAAGUAUGGUUAGAUUCUAAAGCAGGAAUCUCAGCCUACAUAGCAUCCACCCACCUAGGAUCUUUAACAGCUUCCUCAAAGGAGGUAGGUUCAACUAUUGUGGAGAAGGCAGCUAGAUAGGCCUGAUAUUUAGGAGAGAGUCCAUCAUAUGACACAUAGUUGAUAAUAGAGUAAGGCACAUACUUGUGUCCUGGCAAAGACACAAAGUCUUUCAUCCAAAUAAGAGCUUGUUUGGUCCUUAAUAAUCUCCUCAGACCAGUGAAUCUCUUAUCCUUAGAAGGUAAGGAAGCUGGCACCACUUCUGACAGUGAGUGAUGUUGUAGAGAUAAGUAUUGUCUUGAUUUGCUAGCUGCAUGGUCAGAAAUGGUUGAAGAAUGAGGUAAGGUGAGUUCUGCAUCAAAAAUAGAUGAUUCAGGGGGCAAGAACACAGGUGGUACAGAUGCUGGAGAGUCCUUGAAAGGGAAAACAACUUCCCCGAAGGAAACAUCUUUGUUAAUGAGAAUGAAAGGAGUGUCCAAAUCUAACAGGAUAUAUCCCUUUUGAGUAUCGGAAACCUCAUAUAGAUAGUAGGCUUAGCUCUGCGAAGAAGUUUGUCUGUUUCCUGAACAUGUUUGGCAUAACAUAUACAGCUAAUUAAGAACUCUCAGAUGUUCCAAAGUGGGUGCUCUACCAUACAACAAUUCAAAGGGAGACAGGCCAUUGAGUACAGAAGAUGGCAUUCUAUUAAUAAUAUAUAUUGCUGCAAGAACACAAUGACCACAACACUUAAUAGAAAUAUUGGCCCGAAACCUUAAGGCUCUAGUUACUUACAGGAUAUGCUUGUGUUUCCUUUGAGCAACUCCAUUUUGCUGAGAAGUGUAAGCACAUGUCUUCUGAUGGACAAUGCCAUAUUUCUGGAAUAAGGUAUUGCAUACAAAAUUGACAAAUUCAGACUCAUUGUCAGUUCUGACUGCCUUCAAGGUUUUGUUAAAUUGAGUUUGAACAAACACAAUAAAUUGUGCAAGUACAACACAUACAUCAAAUUUUAUUUUCAGAAGAAAUAACCAAUUCAUUCUAGUAAAUCAUCAACAACAGUCAAGAAAUAUCUAUUUCCAUCAAAAGUUGCAUAUUUAUAAGGACCCCAAACAUCCACAUGAAUCAGAUCAAAUGCAUCAGUGCUCUUAAUACAACUAGUAGGGAAUGACAACCUGGUUUGUUUAGCACAUGGCAUAUAGUGCAUUUAUUUAUAGUGUCAGUAAUACUUGCUAGUUUAGCAAGAAAUAGUUUUCUGAGUACCAUACAAGAGACAUGACCUAGUCUUUUAUGCCACAAAGCAAUAUCAGUAUUUCUUGACUUUAUUCCAGCUGCAACUAAAGCGACUGCAGUAAGCUUCUUGGACCCAUGUUUCUGCAGGAAAUAUAGCCCAUCUCUUGCGCUACCAAUCUCCCUCACCUUGCCACUGAAGAGAUCUUGAAAUAUACAUAAAUCAGGAUAAAAGGAAGUAAAGCAUCUUAGAUCUCUUGUCACUUUAGAGACAGACAAUAAGUUGAAUCUGAAUUGAGGUACAUAGAGCACUUCUUUAAUAGUGCUUCUAUCUGAAAUAUGACUAUCUCCAAUCUGAGUAACUUGAGUGAUAUCUCCAUGAGGUAGUAGAACUUUUUUACACUUAGAAGGUAUGAUUAGAGAGGUUUUGGUCAGUAAAUUAACAUCUGACACAAUAUGGUUGGUGGCACCUAUAUCAAUUAUCCAUCUUUUGAGUUAGUGGAUGCUAAUAAGGUAGUAUCAAUACCUGCUGCAUUUGCUUGAGUAGGAGGAGUUGGGCUAUUAUUCAAAAUCUGCAUUAUUUGAUCAUAUUGUUCCUUGGUGAAGGGAAAACCACCUCCUUGUGAAGUAGUACUUGCUGAUCCCUAAGGCUGUGAGAAGGAAGAACCUACUUGAGUUUGAGUGCCAGAGUUUCCUUGACCUUGUAAUCCUUUAGUAGUUUGGCUCACAUACUGAUGGUCAUGAUGCAUGGACAUGGAUUACAUUAGCAUUGGUGUCAUUGACAUGUUCUGAGAGACAUGAUUUGUGUGCAAAGGCACAUCAUGACUAGGUUCUAUUAUAGCAUUGUAUGUUCCAGCUCCCAUUUCCUUGUUAAACUUAUAGUCUUGUGGAUAUCCUAUGAUUUUGUAGUAGUUUUCCUUACUGUGGCCUUUCAUUUUAUAGAACUCACACUAAAUAUUGUAAUUCUUCCUAAACUUUGGAUUGAAAUUAGGCUUAGCACUAUACAAAGCAGUAGACUGAUAGGCAUUUGUGUUUACAUUAGGAGCAGAUCCUAACACUCCAGCAGUGGUUUCUACAGCUCUUUGACUUUCAUCACUCAUGGGCAUAGCAUAAGAUUGAUUCACCGUAGGUAGGGGUUUCAUCAUACGAAUUUGACUACGAGCUUAAGAGUAAGAGUCAUUUAAGCCCAUUAGAAAUUGGUACACCUUCUGUUUUCGUAGAUGCACAAUAAAUUCUUUUGUCUUAACAUAAUCACAGCCAGGAGUAGGUACUACAGAUUAAGUCUCAUCUUUGAGCUUCGAUUAGUAAACAGAGAUAGAUGCAGUACCUUGAUUUAAGGUGGCAAUUUUCCUUGUGCAAAUUGUAGCAAUGUGUAUCAUUCACCUUAUCAAAGUGUUCUUGAAGAUCUAUCCACACUACAUGUGCACUAGUAGCGUAAGCAAUGCCACUAAUUAAGGUCGGGGCCAUUGAUCAUCAACCAUGACAACACAAUUGCAUUGCACCUCUCCCAUGUAUACCAGUACUUCUCACGAAACCGCUCCUUAGGCCACCUGUCAUCAACAAUCCUAAGCUUAUUACGGCCAAGUAAGGCGAUUCACAUAGAUCGAUGCCAUAAGGAGUCAUUGUUAGUACCGGUUAACUGAAACAAGAUCAAGGAGAUUCCACUUGUAUCGGUGGGAGCUAAGUACAGAGGAUGAGUGACUGCUAAUGUCACUCUUUACUCAAAUUUAUCAUCUGACGAUGCAUGUGAAGCAUUUUCAGUAGUAACAAUUGUGUUCUCUCAACAAAUCAUCAACUACCAUUGUUGAGCAAUUUCAAGUUUUUUUUAAAAAAAUAGAUUUUGAACCAAAAAAAUUUGUUCCAGAAAUUAGACUGAGAAGAAGUUGAUAAUCAAUAUCUGAGCUACAAUUCCGAGCUCGGAGCUCUGAUACCAUGCUGAAGUUUGGUGAUUAAUCACCUGUAGAAACCCUAGCUACGAGGGAGAAGAGAAAGAGAAAAGGAAGAAGUUAUUUGAGGAAGAGAAAUGAAUAAAACAGUGAAAAAAUUGUAUUUACCACUUAUUGUGCAUCUCUUACACUUACACACAUAUAUACACACGUGUGACAAACCACUAUUGUAACAAACUAAGUACCUCAUUAACCUCACUAACUUCCUAACUAAUCAACCACACAUAAAUAAGCUAAACUACUCUCAUAAUCAAGUCACUCCUUUAUCCUCAACAAAUGUUGGCGGUUAUUGCUUGAUUUCCUUUCUUUGAACCCUUUUGUUCGCCUUGACAGGAAUCCUAAUNNNNNNNNNNNNNNNNNNNNNNNNNGGAUAGUAUGAAGUAUACAAUUUACUCUCAAGAACCAGUAGAAGAAUAAUAUAGUAAUUCUUUCUGUUCUUAUAGCUCUGGAUCACCCUAGGAUAUGGUUCAACUGUCAAAUCCUAAUUGGCGACCAACUAUGUGUUCAUGUCAAAUAUAAUCGACCAUUGAAUGACCUAAAAAACUCUUUUCUUCUUUCAUUCAUUGCCAUGGCCAAGGUCUUAGUUUGGUCGUUUAUAAUUCAUGACAACAUGGAGCUUAAACUCAUUACCAAGAGUUGACAGAUUCCAUCUUGAUCAAUUACUAAUUCUACAAGCAUUUAAUCAUACCCAAUAUCCUUUCAACUAUCGCCCUAGGAUCAUAGGUGACUGGUAUCAAAGCACAAUAAAUAACUUGUCAAUUACUAUGACGAUAUCAGAUCAAAGAAAAUAUUUACAUCACAUUCUUCAAGAGAAUAUCCUAUUGACAGUUAUGGUAAUUCUAAUCAUUAGGAAUUAUCCAAUGAGUCGGUUCAAUGAUCAUAUCUCUAUAUGUAUCAUCUAUCUAUGUGAUUUAGUUAAUGAGAUCAACUAAUCUUUAUCCAAUAAAGACGAUCACAUAAAUAUUGAUCUAACCGGAUUACUAAUGUCCAAAUUAAUAAUCCUACGAUUAAGAACAAAUUUAGAUUAAAUUAUAAGAGACUUUGUUCUCAUUAUCAUGAUCUUUAUCACGAUGACAAAUCUCAAAAUUUAAUCAAGGACCUUAUCAAAUGAAUCAAACAAUUGAUAAUAACUAUGAUAAAAGAAUGUCAUAUAUUUUUAUAUCAAAUAACAUUCACAAAAAUAUGUUCAAAUCAUCAAAUAUGAGAAUGGAUCUAGGGCAAAUCUACUAUAUCCCUAACCGGAACAAGUAGCAAACGAUAAUUUUUUUAACUAUUUCAAGGUAAUAAGUUGUUCCAUUAGCUCACGUGACUUAUGUCUUUAGUCAAUGUUUUAGAUGGUUAUCUUGCAUUUAACUAUAACAGCCAGCUGAAUAAGUUAUGCAUCUUUUUUUUAAAAAAAACUAAGGUACUAAGCUAAAUUAGCAAGCUAAUUGAUUUCACCCUUUAAGGUUUAAGCAUUGGUCGUUUUUCUGUUGGCACAGUAUUGGUUUCCCAAAAUUAGAGGUUGUUUCUGUGCAGUUUUGUUAGUGUUCUCAGAAUUUAAGCAACAUGUAACUUAUUCCACCUGAUAGUCUCUUCAUUCGUUCAGAUGAUUGAGUUGAACUUCAGUUGCUUUGUAGGCUAUGCUUUGGUACAUUGUACUCUGAUGAGGUUUCCAGACCUUACGGUGUGGAAUAAUAUUGGGUAUAUAUAUUGUUAUUGUUGUUACUCUGAUGAGGUUCAAGAUCUUUUUGUAUUAAGUGGCUCAACUUCAAUAUGCAUGCAGAGGUAGAUUUUAUAUUGAAUGUGACGGGUUCAGCCUUUAAGAUUUCACCGUUUCAAGAGGCAGAUUCUAAAUUUUAAUUUUAUGCUCCACAUAUUUUGAAAUUUCGCCAUUAGAACUCAAGAUAGUUCAUGCUCUACAAAUUAUAAUUCAUGCUUCUAAAAAUCACGAUUCUCUAUCUCGUUUGAGUUUUGCAAUUGUGAUUCAUCCCCACAAAUUUGUGUUUUUAAAAAUUUUUUUAUACCUGCCACUUGCCGACGAUUCAAUUAUCCUAGGACCAACCACAUAAACCAUUUUGAUCAAAGAAAUAAAAGGGGCCAUGCCAAUUUCAAUGGGGGUUUACAUAGUCUAGGUUGUCGCCAAAAUAAUAGCCGAAAAAUUAUAUUUUUUGUGUAUUGAUGUAGAAUAUACAUACGUUUGUUAUUCAGUGUAUAUUUGGUUAGCAGUUGUAAUUAUUUUGAUGGAGUGACUAAACGUGUUAAAAGCCCUAUUUAAUCAGUACAAAGAGCUAAUUGAGUUCUACACAGAAGUUGGGUUUAAACUUUAAACAAUGUAAUCUAAGUCCUUUUUCUCAAAGCUAAAUAGUACGUAUUAUUUUGGAGUGGCUAUUUGGAAAACAGAAGGGUGAACACCAUUCAACUCUACAGUCUACAGUCUACUUUAAUCAUCACAAAGUACUUAAAAUAGGGAAAGAGAGAAGCGAACGACAUAGUUUUCAGUAUUAUGAAAUAAGACGGCGUCGUUUGGUGAAAAAGGGAUUAGUCAGAUUAACGAAAUUAACAACCAUUUUAAAAAGGCGAAGCAGCGGUGACGUGGAUGGUUGAGAUCUUUUGCUUUAAAAUAUUUAAACCCAACGAAUUCUGGUAAAUUCCCAUUCUCCUAUUGCAGCUUUCGUCUUCCCUCCCAUUUUCUCAAAAAUGUCGCAACUGAAUCCAACUAUCUUCAAAUCCAUAGUCCCAUCUCGCUACAUUACCUUCACAAUCCCAAACCCAUUGCUUCAUCUCAAUCACUUCCAUACUCAAGAACUCCGCAUUUCAAUUCUUGAUUCACCUCUCCCUUCAAAUCCGACUCAAAUCGCAGCAAUGUUAGUUCCAAUUAACCGCGAAUCAGACUGGAUUUUUUCUACAGAACAAGGUCAUCUUCAAAUCCUCCUCACUUUCUCUCAUCUCUCUCGCCUCAUAAUCAUCGGCAAUUCACCGAAUUCCCCACACCCCACUUCGUAUAAUCCCACAUUGCACUCCAAUUGUACCGCUGAUUCAUCUGUUCUUGAAGAAAAAUUGUUGCCUCUGUUGAUUGAGUUGACACCCACAUCGGCAUUUCGUCGAACAGGUGAUGGGCUACCUGAAAUACCUGAAAUUCCGUUCUUGAGCUAUGAAGAUGGGGUAAUUCGGAGUCUGGUAUUGGAAAGAUGUGUUGGACAAUGUGUUGGAGAAAUGCUGGUAGAAGAUGUGGAGUUGGAAUUGGAAAAUGGGGAUAGAGAGUUUAGGAGGAGACUGAGAUUCAAGAGAAUGCCAAAUUUGGUACAAACUCAGAUAAGAAUCCGUCCCAAGAAAGUGGAUUUUGUUGAUAUGGAAGGCGUUGAAUUUGAGGUGGUUGAUGAUGGGGAUCUAGUUCAUCCUUAUUUGACUCCAAUGGUGGCUGGUCUUUCAGUAAUCGCUUCAUAUUUGGACGAGCAAAUUGGAAAAGGGAUAAAGCCAAAAGCCUUGUGUUUGGGUGUUGGUGGAGGGGCGCUUCUUGGUUUUUUGAGUUCCCACUUAGGUUUUCUAGUCUUUGGUGUUGAGAUUGAUCAUAUUAUUUUGGAGGUUGCAAGGAGAUUUUUCGGGUUGGUACAUGGUGACUUGGUCCAUGUCUGUGUUGGAGAUGCUAUAGAAAUGAUUGAGAAAUUCGCGACUCAAGUAGAUAAUGAUAGUUUUCGUGGUUAUUGUGAUUUCACUGGGAAUGAUUGUUUGAAUAAAUUUCAUGGUAAGUUUGAUGUGAUCAUGGUUGAUUUAGACUCGAGCAAUGCUAGUAUGGGUACGAGUGCUCCUCCUUUAGAUUUCUUGCAAAAGUCAGUGUUAUUGGCCGCGAGGACAUUGCUUAGAAAAGAUGGUGUUGUUAUCAUAAAUGUGAUUCCUUCAGACCAGUCGUCUUACAAGUCAGUCAUUGUUGAAUUUCAAGAAGUUUUUGCAGGGUUGUAUGAGAUAGAUGUUGGGAAUGGAGAGAACUUUGUUCUAAUUGCCUCUACCUCAGAAACUGGACAUGUUUCCUGUCAUCAUCAAAGUAAAUUUCUAAGUAAGUUGAAACAAGUAGCAGGAUCUUAUGUUGACUCUAUAAGAAUGAUCUGAAGGCUUCUUAGUAGCUAAGCUCUUACAGAUAACUGAGUGAAAGUGUGCAGAAAGGAUGAGUCAUAGGACAAAGAUGAAUCUAAUAUUUUUAGCCGAUAUAGGGAUCCAAUUGUAUAUAGUUCAUUUGUUGGUAUCUUGGAGGAUUACAAGCAUGAUUCUUGAUUUCCAAUUGGUUGUUUUUGCAUUAAUUACUACUUCUUUAAUCUUUGAAAUUUGGAGUCAACAGUUAACAAAUCCUCCUCAUAAGUAGAGAAAGCCGCCCACAGCUCUCUAUUUGUCGUUUUCUUAGGAGUUGUUGAUGGUAUUGGAACAAUUGAUAUCAUAUAAAAUCUCAUAAAGACAAUAGCGUUUGGUUGCUUUUUUGGCAUAAGCAAAAGUAAUCAAGCUUUUGGUUGGCAGUAUUAAAUAGUACCUCCAUCAAGAUAUGUGAAAAUUUAUCUACUCCAUUAUUUAUAAGGAUAACAUGUGAAAUAAGAUUACGUUAAACUAUUUAAAGAUAAAAAAUGUCCUUUAAAGUAAGUAAUUCGUGUAUAACAAUCCUUCACUCGUAAUAAGUGCAUAACAAUCCUUUCAUUGCUACUUCUUGCAUAAACAAUCAUUGCAUUAUAAUCUCCGCAUAAUUAGUAUGCGAACCAGAAAAAAUCCUUCGUAUUUCUCCCUAACAUAAUAAAAUUAGGAAUGGCAAGUGGAGCGGGGCGAGGCAGGGCGGGUUCUGCCUUAACCCGCAAAAUUUCAACCCGCCCCGCCCUGCUCCGCAUAGCAUUUUCACCCGCGUUCCCCCGCCCCACCCCGCCCCACUUCACUAAGUUUUUCAGUACUUUUUUUCUUCAAAUUGUCUUAUUUUUAGAAACUUUCAAUACACUAGUUGGAGCAUCUUCAUAUUAUCUCAAGGCCCAUUCUUGUGAUAUUUUCGAUAAUGUGAUAAUUAGAAAACUAGAAAAAUAAAUUGUGAUAUUCACACGGAUAUUAUAUGAGUAUAGCUAAGAUAAGAACCAAUUCAUGCUCAAAUUGUUAAAUCAAAAUUUACUUUACAGAUAAUGAAAAUAAUCAGUUGUACCACAAGAUCAAUAUAGAACAUUGGUAAAGAAAAGAAUCAAAUGAAACUCCCAAAAGAGUAAGAAAAAGGAAUUUAAUGCCCAUAACUAAAAAAUGCAAAACAGAUUAACAUAACUGGGUUUUUCAAUAACAGUAAUCCUAUAUAUAUAGACCUUCUCCAUAACAUGAAAAGCUUCAGAGAUGCAUUUUUAUGGUUGACGAAGAGCACUCUCAACUCUCAAGUCUCACGAUAUGGAGAAUAGAGGAAAAUAUUAUUAUUUUUAAAUUUUGAGAGGGUCAAAUAAAAAAGUCAAAGUAGUUUAUAUAUAGGAGUAGUGAAGUUCCUCCAAUGUUUAAUGUCAUUUUUGAACAUUUCGAGCUUUAUACAAUAAUCAAAGGUAUUUAGAUUGAAGCAUGAAAAAUAAAUAAAAAUAUUUGGAAAUUAAAGACAACACAGUAUAAUGAUCCACAUGAAUAUCUUUUAAAAAUGGUAUAAGCAACAUAUUGAAAAGCUUGAAAACGAGAUUCAUGCGAGUAACUAAAUAUACAGUAGGAAAAAAUUGACCCGCAACCCGCAAAAAUUUCUUUUCAGAAAAAUUAACCCGCCCCGUCCCGCACCGCACCUGCACAUGCCUAAACCCACACCGUCACGCAUAAGCUCAAACCCGUACCGCCCCGCACUCACAACGCACCAUUACCAUCCCUAAAUAAAAUCCAAAUUGGAGUUGGUACAAUAUGAAAGCAGGACCCUAGCCUUCAGGGUGGUUGUUGGCUCAUUGGUUAAUUUAUUAGGUAAAGAAAGCUCUUCUUCAUUCUUUCCUCCACCAACGUGCAUAUGGGCAUAAUCGACGGUGAAAAUAGAAAUUUUUCUAAGAGCGUUCAAGAUUUAAUAUUAGUGGCGGAUCCAAAAUUUCAAAGUUAUGGAUGUCUACCGGUAAAAAUAUCAGAAGAAAAGGAAAAAUAAAUUUAGUGAUGGGUGCUUAUUCAAUACUUAUUUAAUUUUUUUAUAAUUACGUAUGUAAAUUUAUUAAGUUUGGCACUAUUUAAUAUAUAUGUAUAAAAGGUAAUACUAUUUGAUUUAUACAAAGCAAAAUUUUUGGGGAUACGCCCACCCUUCAUCGCGUUGAAAUAUGAUUUUUUGUUCUUCGACUGAAAUAUACAUGACUCUUCCAGUGGGCUACUCCUGAUUACAAGUUGAUUAAUAGCAACUGUUCAUAAAAUCUUUACCUGUAUAUUUUUAUUUUAUGUAACAAGGAAUGUAAGUGGACACAGGCAAUCCGCCCCUACCUGACGUAUUGAUCCUGAUGUGUAACAUGUUAAUAACCACUAAUUAAUACUACCCUCCAUUAACAAUUCUUAAUUUUACUUAAACAAAAAGACAAUAUAGAGAAGCAAGCAUGAUAAGUUGAAAGAAAAGUCUCUCUUUCCACAUAUAUACAAUAUUAAUCUCGUAGCAUUUCCAUUAAUUAAUAGAUAAAACUAUAAUUAAUCUUUUGCGUGGUACCAUGUUUGAAACCCAUUCAAGGAAGACGGAGGCGACAAAGGCUCGUCAUAUUCCACUAUGCAUAUUGAUCAAAACCAAAUAGAAAGAUUAAUUAAUCAUAUUAAACAAUAAUUAUCCGACUAUAUUCUCCAAGAUUUUUAUUGGUUCUAACGUUAUUAAGAGGAAGGCAAAGGGAGAAAUUAACCAUCAUCUAAUUAAAUUAUCUCAUUGGAAUACAUGUCUAAGAUUCAUCCAGCAGCAGAUCAUCAUAGAAAGCGAAGCAAACCUUGUAGACACGACGAUCAUGAACAGAGACAGAAUCAGAAUUUGAAGCUUAUAGGUUCGAAAUUUUAGUCCUCUUGCAUUAUCGAAUAAAUAACUUGUUCAUAUUACAUGAAUUUCUUUGAAUCAAAAUUACUGGUUCGGCCAAACCUACUUCCUGCACUCUUAACUCUGUCCCUGAUCAUGAAAUGAUUAUUCAUGUGUUCUUCCUCCAGCUCCUGCAAGUCGCUUAAUAAGUAGGCCGCCACCGGCUGCUGCCUGCGCGGCGUCUAUCUUCACAGUGUGGAAGAGAUCGAGUAUGAGUUUCCAAGGGACAGAUGGAUUCACGGUGUUUGAUAAACUAGGACAAUUAGUUUUCCGGGUAGACAACUACACCAGAAGAAAGAAUCGUUCCAUUGCUGCUGGCAAAGGAAGAUCUGGUGUUGGUGGACUUGUACUCAUGGAUGCAAAUGGUAAACCUCUCUUAACAUUGAGACCUCAGGUAUUAAUUACAUGUACAUAUGCUUUAAUUUUUUUAUAUCUUCACGAACUCGGCUUCUUAGAUUUAAGGUGAUUUGUGUAUCUACUCCAAUGAUUUUAUUAUUUCCUACCAUUUUGAAGAGGAUUCUGGCAUGCUAUGCACCUCUUCAGGAAUGAAAAGGUCCAUUUACAGGUCAGGGCAUAAAGGCCUAUAUGAGAUCCUAACGACAUCAUGGCAUGCUCAAUUAUCUCUUAAAUUAGCUAUAUUAGGCUCUUUAUUAAUCAUUGUUGUAGCGCAUCAGAUAGCAUAGAUAUCAUUAUGGGAGAAAUUCAUCGUUAAAAUGAUAACUAAUACAACAAGAAUAGAAACUAUUAAUUCUUUUUCCAAAUUGAAAUCCUUAAAAAAGUCUAUGGGGAUCAUAUGGAUGUUUGUCCCUAUUUUGACUCUAGCAUUAGGAAUCACAAUAGGUGAAUUUGAUUUUGACCAUUAUUUUCAUAUCCGUAAACUGUAAUAGUGUGAAACGAAAGCCCAACUCCAAGUUGAUCAAGAAUAGUGACAUUGGGUUUCUCGACCCUUUGACUUAGGAUUAGUCAGUUCUUCGAUCAUCUCAAUAUUUCUUCUAUUAACUAAUUACAAAUUACAUAAUCAUACUUAAUCCCAAAAAUUUUACAGAUGAGGAGCAUGCAAUUACAAUACGAAUGGAAAGUAUAUAGCGGAGGGGAAGAAGAUGAAAACAAUGGAAACCACUCUCCUCCUUUGUUCGUAAUGAGAAAACCUCCAUUAUCACUGCUUAUGAUGAUGCGAACAACUGCGACAAACUCAUGCCAGGCUCAAGUCUUUACUGCUGAUGGAGAGAAUGAUAAUGUCAGUCGUCCCGAUUACAGGGUAGAGGGUUCAUUCCGUAGGCGAAAUUGCAACAUAACCAAUUCUACUGGUCAUAUUGUAGCCAAUAUAUCAAGAAAAGUAGCCAACGCUACUACUCGCACUACCGUUUUGAUUAGCGACGACGUUUUUAGCUUGGUGGUACAACCAGGCUUUGAACCUCACAUUUUUAUGGCUUUUGUUAUUAUCUUGGAUCGCAUGUAUCCUAACUCAUAUGCUCCCCUUGUUUGUUCUUAAUUAGUAAUUGAAUUUCAUGUCUAAUAUUUCAAGGGGUUUUGUAAAGAAAAGAAUUUACUGUUAAUGAGCUUCUUCAAAUACAAUGUAAUUUUUGUGUUCGCUUUAUUCUUGCCUCUAAAACUUAUCUUGGUUAGUGAAUUUUGGAAAAAGCCUCCUUAAGGAUGGGUUACGUUAGUCAAUCUGGUUUGUUGACAAAACCGUUGUACUCCCCUCUGCCCCAGUUUAUAUGGCCGAGCUCGGAUUUCGGACGUCAAAUUUCUUAAUUUUAAAUGUGAAUUCGAACAUAGAAUCUUUAAAUUUUUUUAAACAAAAUUUAUAUAUUUGAAAACUACAUAAAAAAUACUAUAAGUCACAAUAAUUAAUAUUCAAAAUAUCUAAAAAGCAUAUGAAAAAAUUAGGGUCAAAGAAAAACUCGAUUGACUCUCGAAAUCCACACUCCGCCACAAAAAUUGGGACGGAAGGAGUAGGAUUUUUUUUGCUUUUUUUACAUGGAGGAGGGCAGGGGAAGAGAAUGCCUAAAUUACUGAUGGGAUUUGAAUCUUCCACCUCAACUGUGGAAGGCAAGAAGCUCACCAAGUGAGCUAGCCUUCAACCCCAACCACCGUAGGAUUUCCGAGCCUUAUCCCAUAGAAUUUUUUUUCGUUCAAACUGGAUGCUAUAGAGUACAUGAUAUGUCCAUCUGUGGUGAUGAUGGUCUGAGAGAGUUUUCCUCUCCUGGAAAAAGUGGCAGCAUUUUCUAUCUUUCUCGUGAUGAUAAUUGAUAAAUCGGAUAAGGGCCAAAUAUACUCCUCUACUAUGGGAAAAGAAUUAAGUUUAUCCUCCGUUAUACUUUCUGUUUAAAAACACCCUUCUUGUUAUACAAUUAGGUCAAAUAUACUCCUCGUCCGUUAAGGUUAUCCAAGGUGGAUGUCCAAUCCCACGUGACACUGACAUUUUGGCUACGUGGCAUGCCACCUCACUCCCCUAAACCCAUCUUACCCCUCUCUUUUACUUCUUCUUCCUCCAAUAACACCUUCUACCCCUCGACCACACUACUACCAUUAACACUGAGUCCAAAACCUAAAUAGUAACUACUAAUAUAUCUUGAAAAUUAAAAUUUGAAAAUAUUCGUGUAUGAUAUAUUUUUUCUAUAUUGUUAAGCAACCCAUCUUAAUUUUCAACACUACUAUUAUAUAUUAUUUUUAUAAUAUAUUCGUCUAUGAUAUAUUUUUUCUAACUUUAAUUUUCAAGAUAUAUUAGUAGCAGUAGCGUUAUUACCUACUAAUUUUCACAUCUUCGUCUUUUUUUAUUUUCUUAAAAAUAUGUUUUGAUUGUGUAUGAAAAUUAAGAAAUAUAAGAAUUUAACACCUGCUAAAAGUAUUACUAUAAAGCUUUUGUGAUCUUAACACACCGUAAUGUUUUGAUUGUUAUAAGGUAAAUUGAAAAAAUUAAAUCUAAAAAGUUUCUAUAAUAUAAAAUGUGUCAUUUUUAUCAAAAAAAUAAAAUUUAAAUAGAACGUCUAUAAAAUUUAAAUGAAAGGACAGAAAACCGAAAAUUUGUAAAAGGGAAAAAUACAGAAAAAUUGUGAGGAAAAGAAAGACGGGAAAAAUGGUUCAAUUUCCAUUUAACUUGUUUAGAAAAGUUGUGACCCACUUAAUUACAUUUGGUACUAAUUAAAAUAUAACGUGUUCACACACGGAAACAAUUUUCAAUCUCAACUUGGUUUUUUAUUUCAAAAUUAUGGUGAGCAUAUGUUGUUGGUGACACUAGUUGGGGAGGAGUAGGAGUUUCUAGUGGUAGAAGAAGAAGUAAGAGAGAGGGGUAAGAUGGGUUUAGGGGAGUGAGGUGGCAUGCCACGUGGCCAAAAUGUCAGUGCCACGUGGGAUUGGGCAUCCACCUUGGACAAUCUUAACGGAUGAAGGGUAUAUUUGACCUAAUUGUAUAACAGUAAGGGUAUUUUUAGAUAGAAAGUAUAACGGAUGAUAAACUUGAUCCUUUUCUCAUAGUAGAAGGAUAUAUUUGACCCUUAUCCGUUGAUAAAUUUGUGAUCAAGACUUUAAAGAAGCUAGAACCCAAGGUUUGGGUAAAACAAAAGUUUACCUACUAAACUCUUCUAGCUAGCAUUUGCUCACUUGUUAUGUUAACAUGUUCAUAUGACCAGUGAACUUCAUACUGAAUUAAAUUCAGCAAGAGAUAGGUCUUCUGUUGCAUUUUGGAAUAAGAAAUGGAACUAUUAUCUCGAGUUGAGGUGAUGUUUUAGCUUAAAUGUACUAAUUUUCCCACUCCCUUAGUAGUACAACCAAUUCAUUUUUACCUUAGUUGUAGUACUAAUAGAUACAAAGGUGAAAGCAUCAUAAGAAUAUAUGCAGUCACUGCUCACAACCUGUUUGAACAGCGACACUGCAACUCCAAUUCAUGCACUUCUUUCACAAAAUGCUGCAGCAGACAGGAGGUCACUACGUAUAGUUAUAUACACCCAGUGCAUUCCGACAAUGUGUGAUCUGGGGAGGGUAGUGUGUACGCAAACCUUACCCCUACCUUGUGGAGGUAAAGAGGCGAUUUGAAAUAGACACUCAGCUCAAGAAAAGCAUUCAUCAGCAGGUUUGAAAAGGAAAAACAAUUGUGAAGAAGCUAUGUUGAGAUUAAUGAAGAUAAAGAACAAUAACAACGGCAAAAUAACAAAGCAAUAAGAUAACCGAAGCAAGGGAAACAGCCGGUAGUAAUAAAAAAAUAAUUUGCAAUAUGAUUUGCAAUGAUUCAGAGUUGUAAUCUUCGAUCGAUAAAAGAAAGCUUCUUAUUUCUCUUAGUUAACUCAUAAUUGUUUGAAGCUCAUUGCAGUAUUCUCUCCAGAUAUUAAAACAACCCUAAAAUAUUUGCUUUCUUCUGAUUUAUGUAUGCUUUUUUGCAUCAUGCAACAGUCAUUGAGUUCUUAUUCCUAAGGUGGUUGCUCAGAGAUCCAUUAUUUGCCCCUUCUAAUUAGUAAUUCCUCUGUUAAACAAUUGAUUGGUUGUAAAAUUGCAAUUAACGAAAACAAACAACAAAAAAAUAACAAGUACAGAACUGAGAAUGAUAUUACUACCAAAGACAGAAAUAAGAGGCUGAAAAAAGAACUUUAACCCGGGGCUUAGGUCUAGUGGUAAGUGUCCGUUUGUUGUGAUAUUUGGAUUAGGCGCAUGUCAUGGGUUCGAAAACUAUCACAACCUGGAAAUUAGGUAGAGAAGUGUAAAGGGACGAGCUCAUUACCUACCGACUUUCGAAGCGUGCGCCACUAGAGGUUUCUCAUUUAUUAAACGGAAAAGGGCCAAAAAUGACCUUAACAUAUUAGAAAUGGCUCAAAAUUGCCCUCUUCCACCUAUUGGUUCAAAUUUGCCCUUAAUGUUACUUUUAGGCUCAAAAAUAUCCCUAUCUUAACGGAAAGAUGACAUGGAAUUGAUGGGCAUUUUAAUUGAACUUGUGGCAUUUAUUUAGGGGUCCACAUAGAUUUUUUCUAACCCAACCUAAAAGAUCCGACCCAUCUUUUAAUAAUCCAUCCUUUUAAGAUAAUCAAAACCACAUCUUGGCUGCAACAAAACAAUGAGCAUAUGAACUUGACAGUAAUUUUCUUUUCGCCUGGUAACAUAAGCAAAAGCUUCGUUAUUCUGACCCAGUAUCUCUUUCUUCCUUCCUUGAUAUUCCAUCAACAUAAUAGAACCAGCCAUACAUUAAACACAAUUUAACCAACACAACAACUGUCACAAUUAAGCAACAUUAAUAUUAGAACUAAAAAAGAAAAUUAAACGAAUUGAAACCAGAAAAUUAACUUAAAUUAAAGAAUUAAAAGAACUAAGACAAAGAAUUAAAAGAAUUGGUAUCAAAACAUUAGAAGAACUGAAAUAUACAAAAACUGCACUCAGAAAGCAGAUGGAAAAUCAAGGAAGGAAGAAGAAGAGGAAAAACUCUAUUUGGAACAAAAGAGAAGAAAAUAAUUGCCAAUGGGGUUUUCAGAAACGUUGGUUUAUUUUAGAAGGAUGGACUAUUAAAAGAUGGAUUAGAUCUUUUGGGUUGGGUUAGAAAAAAUCUAGAACAUCAGCAGCUCCAAAUCACCAACCAAGUCAAAGCCAUGUUCGAUGCUCAAGCACCAAAAAGACUCGCCAAACCUACCCGCAGUAAACCUAUUCAGUCUCAAGUAAACCCGCAGUAAACCUAUUCCAGAACUUGACAAUCACCGAUCUCUUCAAUCUCAAGUACUCUGCCCCUACCCUUCUGCUAAUUACCCUUGCAUUCCUUUAAUAGAAUGUGAAUUAAUUAUAAUUAUAAUCUUUCUGAUAAGUUCUUUUGAAUUUUGAUCAGGGUGGUACCGGUAGUAUCUGUUCUGAAAGUAAUAACAGCUCGGAGCAAGAAGAGUUUGUGGAAACUCGGUACUAUAAUGAGUUGGUUUCCAUUGACCACUAAAUAAAUGCCACAUGUUCAAUUAAAACACCCAUCAAUUUCAUGUCAUCUUUCUGUUAAGAGAGGGAUAUUUUCGAGCCUAAAAGUAACAUUAAGGGUAAAUUUGAACUAAUAGGUGGAAGGAGGGCAAUUUUAAGCCAUUUAUAAUACAUUAAGGGCAUUUCUGGCCCUUUUCCGUUUAUUAAAAUAAGGAGUAACAAACAUGGAUAUGGUUUCACUCCGUAACCAAGUUGCAAGUGCAAAAAAUACAAUGGAGUUUCAAUUUACUUUUGAGAGUGCAAACUAAUUUAGCUAAACAAAAGAAAAUACUAUUGAAUAUACUAUGCUUUACACUAAAAAUUUAGUGCAGAAAAAGGGAAUAACCCAAAUGGCUAAAUAACUUGGACAAACUAGUGAUCAAAGAAGGGUAAUAAGGAUAAAAAUAAGAAGAGCAGCAAUAAAAGAGUACUUAAGAGCAGCAAGAAGAAUAGCCAAUGCUAUAACAAACAGCUGCCACAAUAUACUUACACUAGCCCAUGUCAACAGACCCGUUAAUCCAACUGCCACAAUAUUAUCCGGGUCCGGGUCCAAUAUCAGAUCCACCCAUCUCAAAUUCAAUCUGGGCCUUCCACCACUACUAUUAUUACUUCCACCGUUAUCACUUUUUUCCUUUACCUCUUUAUCUGAGCUAGCAGUAUUGCUAUUUUCAUUUUCUGCUGCACAAACAAGAAUGGUUUUUCUUCUAGGGUAAGUUUUUGAGGGCUGAGAUUUGAGGGGUGAAAAUGGAAAUUUGAGACUGUGAAGGGGGUAAAUGGGAAAAAAGGAUUUGGUAAUUGAUGGGGUUGGUAGAAUUGGGGGUGAAUUUGAAUACGAGGGUGAUAUUGAUACUGCCAUGAAAAUACAGCAGAUUGAUUGAGGACCUCGUAUUUGAGGUACAGGGAAAAAUGGAGAGGAACGAACAAAAAUGCGCUUUUUUGUAAGCUAAAACUACGACUUCGCCUCUUUAAUUAUUUCUUUAAGCACUUUGGUCCUCAUAACUUUCUACAAUGU
rnacentral:lncRNA from 1 species